rnacentral:lncRNA from 1 species
AAAAGUACCUUUUUGUUUACUGGACGAGCCUUAAACUUUGGAAUUUUGGCCAUCAUCUCUUCUUCCAGCUCAGCAGUACUCUCUUCACUCUAACUGGAGCGCACACGCUGUGAUGUCUCAAAUUCUGGCUCCUUUGGUCUUGUUAAGGCUCAUUUCGGCUUCAUCUGAAUAAUAGAAACAACAUCAACCUCUAUAGCAAAAAAAAUUUAUUAAACCUGACCAAAUAAAUAUAUAUAAAAGUGUAAAGAAGUGAAAGAACUUUAAGCAGGGUGAAGCUCCUUUACGUGUGAAAGAGAACCAUUAGCAUGCGGCAGCGACAAGUCUCUGGUACUUGAUUGGAACCUGUUCAUCAUUUCUGCCAUUGAAACAAAUGGUGCUGCAGGUUCCCGAACCUAAAUAUGUAGAUUGAGAAAGGAUCAACUACUCAAUUCUGAUAUUGCAUAACAACAUGGAGUGCAAAAGAGGGAUCAAAAGUACAAACCGUCCUGUCCUCUUUUUGAGUUUUAAUAGCAGUUGAAAAAUGUGUGGCACUGUAUAACCUAGUUUUGACUUGUGGAGCAAUGUUUGGGUUAAGAAUCUGCAUUUUAAGGCACACAAGGAAAAACAGUCAUGGGAAAUGUCUAGAAAUAAUCUUCACCAAACGACAACAAAGAGGCUUCUAGAUGUGAGUCAACACAAAUUACAGAACUAAAAGUAACCUGUCUAGAUCUUCCAGCAUCCAACUUCUGCCGCUUAAUUGCCUGAUUCACCUGAGCUAACAUGGAUGUGCCGGUUGCAUUUUUCACGUUCUCUUCUCUGUAAGUUUCAGUCAAAUAUACAAUUAGGACAUAGCACUGGCGUAUAAUGAAUUCAAGAGAUACCAGAUAAAGUGAAGCACGCCAACCUUUUCAUAGUAUACGGUUUAAUAUGUGAAAAGUGCAAGUGACUUUUUCCCCUUGGCCCUGAUGGGUUUCUGACCAUACUUGAUAUCUUUUUAGCUGUCUGGUGGUUUUUGGAAUAAAGAUCUCCCUUCUUGGAAUAAUUCAUGGGUGGCUUUGGAGUACUAGCUAUGGAAUUACUAUUCUCCUUCUCAUUAGUUAUAUCAGUUCUCUUAUUGGAAGAUACUGCAGCAGCCAGAACACUGCAGAGAAGAAACACAAUGAGAAACCUUGGAGCUAGAAAGAGACCUAAGAGAGCAUUAGAUCAGCAGAAAGAGGAAAACUUACCUUCCAUCAUCUUUCAUGCAUUUGUCCUCUACUUUAUCAGCAGAAAUCUGAAAGGAAUACAUUAGUGAUAAGGAGCCACAUGUAAUCACGAAAAUGUGAAUUGCAGAGAGUAAAGUCAAAUUACCGUAGUGGCUUGUCUUGCACUGUUUUCAUCUUUAGCCACCCUGGGAAUUGUUUCUUCCUUCAAUUCAGGAGUGAUCUUCAAGUCAGCCUUUGUUUCAUCAGCAGCUUUUAAAUCAGAGGAUGAUUCAAGGUUCUGCAAAAGUUAAGCCAUCUGAAACAAUAAGCUAAAAGGUUCUCAAAUUUCAAGGAGAUAAAAGAAAAAAUUGUACAAGAUCACCACCUUCUGCAUAUGUUCUGCUUCAGUAAAGUCGCACAUGCUCUCUACUGUAAAGGAUCUACCAGUCUUGAUUCGAGGCAUGAAAGCUGCACAAACAAAUGUGUCCAGAAAAUAAUCAAAACGUUUUCAUAUCCAAAGAACACAAGAAAUCACCUUUUGGGAUCUUUUCAAGUCUUGAUGCUCAGUUUUUUCAACAAGCAUAACCAGCAAAACCAGUCCUCACUCUUCAUUCAACAAAAUAAACCUUUAAGUUCAUACCAGUACAAUGUAUAAUCCAAAGGAAACUUAGUUGAGAUGGACAUUAAUCAAAUCACUGGUUUAGUAUGGAGAUUGGUUUCAAACUUCCAGCAGUAAGUGGUAAGGCCUAUAUCUUAAAGCUAUUCUGUUAUCCUAAGAAACGCAUGGUUGAACAUGUUACUUUUCAUUAGCACAUAACUAGUUACUAAAAGAAGUGGAAAUGAAUACUUAUGUAACUAUCACAUGUCCACUAGUGUUGGAGUGAAUCCUUAGGAAAGAAGCUCAAGUUCAAAACAUGAGAGAAUUAUCACAUGUCGAGCAACCAAACUUUACCAAAGUAAUUUUGUGAGGAAGAAAUACUCGCGUUCAAGAACUUAAGGUCACCCAUCUACAGUAGAUGCUACAAUAUAAUCUUAUGUCAAAAUUCUAAAUGUUGCAUUGAUUUUAAUGUCAAGGCCGUAUAGCAACAUACAAUAUGCUUCGCACGAGGUCUUCAACAAGAGUACUUUUCUUGCUGCACAUCCAUACCUUAGUCCAAAAUAUUGGUUGCUUAUUUCCAGUGGUCCUCAUGUUGGUACUUUGUAAAGAGUGUGGGUUUCUCUCUCGUAUUUUCAUAUGUAAAAGAUAAGCAUAUGAAAUGAGAAGCAGGUAAACUGAUUUUAACAAAUCACAAUUGCACAUUGAUUUAUAAGCAAAAAAAAAAUAAGAACAAAAAAUUUGCAAAACAUUUAUGAGGAGAGCAAGAUACCGUAAUUGAAUAAAUUUGCCAUCUAAAGGUGCCUCGAAAGUUGUCCAAAAAUGCCCAGUGCUCCCUAUUUGAUAUAGAUAAGCAGAAAUGUUACUCCAAAUUUAAUAAAGUCAGACAGUCUGCAAUAAAAUUAUAUAGUUUUAGAUAAUAAUGAGAAAAGAAUAAAAUGUUGCUCCAAAUUUAGUCAACGCACCUUUACCAAAAGAAAAUUCACAGAAGCAAUUGAGAGGAUAAAUAUGAUACUUCCAAACAGAAAGAAAUACAGAAAGUCAGAGAAAUUCCACCUCCUUAGAUGUAAAGUACUAUUACAACUGCAAAACAUAUCAAACUCCAUGCAUAAGAUAGGCCCCCUACAUAAGAUGGAUAUAGUUCUACAGAUACCACAAUAACUACUAUAUGAAUAGGGUAAGAUUAGUUAGCUUCCCAUCACCUUCCUUCUCCUGCCUUUGAGGAACCCAAAUAUAAGAAUAUUAAACUUCUGCAUUACCGAAACCCCAAAUCAGUCUCCACCAUUCAGUCAAAAAAAUGAAGCAUUCCCGGAAGCAGCACAACUCACCCGAUCUUUCAGAAGAACAAGACACUUGAGUGAGAUAUCUGAGGCUUAGCCAAGCUUUCGAGCUUGAUGAAACCCUACCGAAUAGGGUGAACAACAAAUCAUACCGAAUAAAAAAAAGUGUGAUAAUUAAGAAUAAGGUUUACUUACUUUUUUCCUAAAAAUUGGUCCAUCCGAGCCUCCCAUCUCCCACACUUAUGCAAAGUCACUCUAUAUUUUAAGCUACCUCUAGGGAACUCGUCACUUUGUCGGGGAAGUACAUCCACACAUUCCUCCUUUGUUAAAUUGCUCAUCUGUUCAGCAACAUAUUACAAAAGAAUAUAAUCGAUCUUCCCUAGAUCCUCAAAAUCCCAAAAAAAGAAAAAUGAAUAGCUGGUUUUACUGUUGAAGACAAGUUAAAAACUGUUCAAAACUAGGAUGUAUGCCGGCGCGUUGCAGCUGGUUGUGUAAUAGAUAUGUGCCUGUUUUUACUGAUGAUUUCAUUGUUACACUACACAACUAAAAGAAACCCCCAAUUUCAUAUUAUAGAACUGGACUCGCACCUCUUCUCUUCCCACGCGCUGCUGCGGUCUUUUAUUUCGAACCAAUGACUUUAUAGUUUUCUGUUAGUGUUGAUCUGGAUGCUGUUGACUGGCACUGAAAAACUGGGUAGCAAGAUAAGGAAACAGUAAUGUAUCAUUAAACAAUGAAAUUCAAAGGAUGGCAAUAUUUAGAACAGUAACAUACGAAAUUUAGAAUUAAUGGCAAAUAAAAGAGGGAUGCUGAUAUUGCAAAAAGUUUAAGAUACAUAGUUGGGGAUACAGAGAUGCCAUGCGCCAGGGGUUUGGUGAAGGUACGGUUUAAAGUUCCCCUACUGAUUAUAGAGGUACUUUGAUAAUAACCAAGUUCCAACUACUAUUUGCAGCUCUUGCUUGUACAUAAAAGCAGAGAUGCAUGCAUACAGUAAAUCACAAUUCUCUUCCAAAUUCAUAAUCAGAUGAAAUAUAUCAACUGCAGUAUAAAAUCAGAUUAACCAAGUAUAUUCGUAGCUCUUCAUUAAUGAAAAGUAUUAAAAGGUAAUUAGAUGUUGAGUUCAUAACUAAGCCGGAUGUGCAAUAGAGUUAAAGAUAAGCAUGUGUGUACUGGAUCCAGUAUUUAUGACCAUUCUAUUAAUGACCUGUUCGUUUGGGGACAGAUGAGAGUCCAUUGAUGACUUUAAACAUCCCAUCAGGUGAACUUACUAUGUAAACACAACUUAUCAAGCUGCUCCUUCAGGGUCUCGAGAUCCUUCUCCAACAUCUCCAUCUCUCUCACCUUCCUUCUUUCUUGUCCUGUUAACAAAUAACAUAAAGUCAGAAGUGUACGAUAGAGAUAUUAUAAUGAAGAACUACAAAUGAACAUGUAAAUAAAGAAAUUUUUAUUGAAGCAGCAUACAACAAACAUCAAUCCUCCUAAAACUGUUCUAAAAGCACAUAUCAACCAUUCACUAUAUAAAAUUCAUAAGGAAUUGUGAAUUGUGGGUUCAGAGCAGAAUUGUUUACACAACUAACCAAUUGGUCAACAUGUACAAAUUAUCAAGCUGAGCAUAUCACAGAAAAUGGUACAGAGAACUACAGAAUGCAAACAUAUACAAUUCAGUAUGGUCCAUAAUCAGAUAAUCCAUGUAAUUUAGUUAUUGAUAGUAGCUUGGUCAGGUUCUAUCACAGCUACAAAAUUCCUUAGCCUAUAUUUUGAAAGUAGUACCAAGGCGCUCGACCUAGAACUACAGUGUUUUUCCAUUGAUAUCUUCAUGGUGACACUCAUGUAAAUUUUCAGAUGUUCCUUCACAUCCCAGAUUCUCAAAAAAAAGUAUAUUAAUGUGGGAGAGGAACAAAGAUAAAUGGAAGUAUGAAAAAAGAUACCAAGAAUAUAAUGGAUAAAUGAAACAGCAAACUCAUAAAUUCUCGCCUUGACCUCACUGUGUGACAGGAAGUUUCUUGAGUUAUGAAAUAUCAAUCUCAUGCCUUCAACCUAGAAAGAAAACAAAAACUACUUAAGCUUCUGUAUUGAUUUCACAAAAAGAUUCACAUUCUGUGUUGAUUUCACAAAACAGAUUCACACAUAGAGAAUGCCUCUUACCCUAAUGUGUAAUUAAAUGGAUAGGCCCACUUCUGAAUGGCAUUAUCAACUGGAAAUUGAAAUGCAUAGGAGACAUGAACAGAAAAAAAAGUUCCCACUAAUUGAGAACAAAGAGUAAGUACAGAACUGCUGAAUUGAGAACAAAGAGGUAUCAAUGCUGGUAGACAGUGACGAUUUGGAGUAAGUACAGAAUCUGGAAAAAAUACUGAAGCUGGGAAUUAUAUUGGCAAAUGAACACUAAUAAUUGAAAAGCUUAAACCUUUGGGUGAUUGGGUGGGAGAGGGAGAUGGGUUUUACCUGAGGAAGAUCUGAAAGUGAUUGUGCUUGGAGUGCUCUGCGGCUGCUGCAACUUACACCACCAUGGCUCUGCUUUAUGGUUUCUGAAAUUGUGGCGAGGUAUAGGUUUUAAAGGCGCUUCAAUGGGCCUCCCUCAUAUCUCUGAAGCUCAUUCAAAGGAUUUGGACUACCAUGUCGAAAAGAGCAGCGCUUUAAUCAAAACUCCCAAACUCCCAAGAGAGGUGAUCAGCGAAUAUUGCCCGAAAAUUAAACAAAUAAGGCUAAGCCCAUAAACUUGAAUUCAGCAAGAACGGAAGAAAACAUUCCCACCAAGCUUACAAAAAUCUCAAUUGAAACAGUUUACUUGACUAAAUUAUGGCUCCCUAUGCUUGAUCGAACACCUCCGGCAUUAAAAUCAAACCAAAAAAGAUAGGCACAGAAACCUGAAUUCAGAGGAGACAAAGCUUUACCGAAAACACCCAGAUCCGUCAGGCCACAAUCGCAUAGAAAAGGAAUCGAUCGGAAAAAGAAAACAAAAUAAAAAAACUACAACACAGGAAGACGCAAAUUACCAAUCAAUGAAAGUUGAGGAAGACGCAAAUUGAAGCAUAAGAUGAAGUGCUGCAUAAGAUGCAAAUUACCUGGAUCCAUAAAAAAAGUCAAGUUCCUGCACCCCUGCUUAAAUAAAAUAAAAAAUAAAAAAAAGAGCAAACACAUCGGUAGAAUCCAUUAUAAAGAAUACACCAGAAAAACUAUCUCUUCUAAUCAAAAUCCUCAAAACACACUUAAACCAAAUAAACUACCAAUAAACAAAUCUCAAAUGCAGAAACACACCAAGGCAGUGAAAAGACGUAUCCCUGAAUGAAAUCAAAUCAAAUCAGCAACAGAUCCUUACUUCAGAAACUGAUAUCUGCAUAUCCAAAAGUUCAUGUCUCAACCAUCUUUGAACAACCUGCGACAAAAACUAAUCACAAUUACUAAAUGGUAGUAAUAACAAUAUAGAGUAAAUUGCUAGAUUAAUCUGAACCGACAUUAUACGGUUAAAGAAAUUACCACCAAACAGAAGAGAAUCAAAACCAAACAACCCACAGUUAUUAUCCAAAAAGACAUCCUAAAUAUUCAUCAACUGUUCAUGAACACCUACUCUGUUUUCAUUGUCAUUUGAUGUAUCUCCAACAAUGAGUUCUUUCAUUUUCUAUGAAGAUUUGUUUGAUCACAUCGGAUUCUUGAAUUAAUUAAUGGUUCUUCAUCUCCAAAAUGCUAAAAAGAACACUUUUCUUUUUCUUCAUCAUUCUUCGUUCCACCAUCGAAUUGGUCCAGUAUUGUGUCUGCAUCUUUAUCUUGAAAAGCUCCUGAUGUUCUUUCAUUCUCCAAGUUCUAGAAAAAAAAAAAAAAAUCCAUUUGUUGAGGAUACUCGAUUUCCAUAUGCUGCAUACAUGUGCAGUGCAUCAUUCAUUUUAAAAUGCAUGAUCAAUCAAGCUCAGUGGGAAUACAACUGAGGACAUUGUAUCAUAAUCCACGCUGCAUAAUCUAAGGAAGAAGUUUGCAACAUUUUCUCAGUUGUCAUUUGCAGAUACCGUGAAAACAUUUGGCCAGUUGCUUAAAAAAUUGGCAAUUCACAUAUUCAUUCAACUGUAAAUUCGAUUCAUGUUUAAAAAAUUGUAAAUCUAAAUUUGUUGACAGAAUAGCUAACUAACUUACAUAACUGAUAUUAAACAUCAAACACCAUAAAAGCUUGAUAGAAACUAUUGAAAAAGAAUAAUUACGACAAAGAUUCUGUAUGCACUAAUUACGACAAAGUUCCAUUUGAUUUUGAUGACUUCACUUUUGGUGUAUAUAGUUUAUUCUCAUCACUAAAAUUUUCUGUUGCUGAAUUCAACUGGACCUUGCGACAUAAGCCAAUGUGUUUUUUCAAUAUUUUCAAAAAGCACAGAAGCAUGUUCAGUAAAUACCACUCGAGGAAUCUUGUUAUUCAUGGGUACAAAUUUCAAUUAAAUUUUUAGAGCUCUAACUUUGUAAUUUAUUAUCAGCCCGGAAACAGCAAAUUUGUUAUCAGCAAAUUGAGGAAAAUUGGUUCAUUUCUUACAUAACUUCAAGUCUUGACAGAGCACACAUAAAAAAAUUCCAAACCAAUCAAAAUAUAUUUGCGUCAUUACCUUAUCUUAUCCUCACUGCCAAAGAAGAUAAUUAAUAAGGAAUCAACAUUAUUCUGAUUAUGUUCAUUGAUUGAAGAUGAUAAUUGGAAUAGAAUAAUAACAGACUAAGACUUCAGUGUUCAGUGAUUUAAAAUGAUAAACAGACUUAAGACUUGAAAGAUUGAAGCUUCUAUGAUCGUGAGGCAUCAUUUCAAUAGAAAUAAUAUAAAUACUACAUUGCAAACAAAUUAAAAGCAAAACAAUAGGAAGAUGCAAUCUAGCAGCACAAAAGAGUUUCGUGCAUUACAAUCAUAGUUAGAAGAUAGAAGUUACAUUGUAAUAGAAGACAAAGUCAGAUAUAGUUGUAGUUUUUAACAUCAUACAAAAGAUAUAAGUUGCAGGUCACCAUAUAAUUCACCUCAUAAUACAUUACUGUUGUAUAAUUGUAAUGUAGGCAAGCCUCUUUUAACAUGAACAACUGGAAGAUGUUUAAUUACAUAAUGAAUAUAUUUUAUAUUGAAGUGAAAAAGGAAAGGCCAAUAACUCUCAUAUUUAGUAGUUGACUGUAUAAGGAAAUAAAAGAACAAUGAAGUAGUAUUUAAUAUUAAUUUGUUAAUAAGUCAAGCACUGUGAGAUUGAAAUUAGCACUAAACAAAUGACCGUUGCAUCCAAAUCUGGAAGAUGAUGACAGUGUAUUAAUCUGUGAAGCCUUCUUACCAAAUCAAAGAUCUCAGUUAUGUAAAAGAGCAAAAGAAAAAAGCUGAAUCAAUAGUGUGUAGUCCUGACUUCUAACCAUUGACAUGCUGUUAGUUCUAAUACAAAGGCAGUGAGCACAAACGGAUUAAGUUCCCCAAUAACUCUUGUUUCCAUAAUUUUGCUCACUAUUUAUUCCAAUCAGAUUUCAUCUCAAGUGCCAAACAUAAUCAUAAUAGUUUGAUAAAAAUAAAGAGAAAGUUGUCAUUCAAUGGUCAACAAUCAUGAUGAAGAUUACCACGUAACUAUGGAAAAAGGUCGGGUUUGAGCAGCAAGUGAAGAGAUAUCAGGAUGUUGGCAUUACCUUAUUUGCUUCUUUGUUCCUUCUACAACCGGAAGACGGUUACUGUGAUUAUCUUUCAUCUUCUUGAAAGCUUCGAGUAUCAAGUCUUCGAGUAUCUUCUUCAACUCCAUCUUUCUUUUUAGAAUUUUGGCAAUCUGCAGUUUUUCUGCAAUGGACCCUUCAAAGACAUAUGAAGGAAAUUAAUGAUACUUCAAAACUAAGUACUUAAACAAACAAUUAAACAGAGAUGAAGAAAAACAAAAGACAAAAGAGUUUUCCUACCUCGAAAUGGUGUUCCGUGUGGCAAAGAUUUACACGAAGAAAGCAAAAAAUUAAGUUAGGUCUGCAAAAUCAAGCAACACAUAACAGUCCCCUCACAGAGUUAUCCAGAAACAUUUACAAACUAAGGUUCAUUAUAAACAUUUACAAACAAUCCUCUUUGAUUAUCUUAGAAGUGCUCAUGAAUCAAGACCAAAUAUUAAAAAGGCAAUUACCAAAGCAAUAGGGUGAGACUGAGGCACCCAAUCUUCGUCAUUUAUCGCACUUCGAUCACGUUCUCUUUUUCUAGGGCUUGAUUACUACUUCUACUUCUCUAUUUCAUUACACUCUAUUUAGAAAUGGUAACAGAUCAACCGAAUCCAUAAAUAAAAUGUUCAAUACCAAAAUAAACUACAAACCUUUGAUGUAACUUGGGUCCGAUCUGAUUAGUUCCUUCACAAAACCAACUCUGGCUACGAUUGAAUAAGACCUUUACGAAAUCAAAACAAGAACAAUCAUCGUUGCAAAACUGUAGUAAAUAUCAACCACCAACCAAUGUGAUUCAAUGCCGUCAGUUUUCAUGUAGGUAGUUUUACCAAUUUUUACUGGGGAGAUUAAACAGUACAAAAGAAAUCAAGAACGUGUUCUAGGGUAGAGCAACUGAAUUUUAGUAGGAGUUGGUAACUUUUUUCUCUCCUUCAAACGUGGUCAUGAGUUUGUUUCUAAUUGUGAAAGGGAUUUCUGGAUUUAGAGUUUGUCUAUUUUAUCCUCUAUUUGUUAAACUCAGCUUCAUGCAAGAGGUUUUCAUGUAGGGGCAAUUAUGAGGAUAUCUGAAAAUUUAACCAUGACCAGUUCCAUAAGCUAAAUUGGCCAAUUAAUAGAGAUAACUGACAAUUUGAACUAAUAAACUCGUGUUAUGCACAUGAGCACUCAGCUUUCCUAAGUCAAACAGGAAAUUCCAAGUCAACUCAUUUCAUAACAAUUAGGAACAUCUAGGGUUUUCGACGGCUCUAUGUGUGGGUCUCUUCUUUAAGCUCUGAAAGAGGGCAUGGGAUUUGAUUUGAGGUGCUGGGAAGAAAUGAGGAGGAAGAACGUGAAGAUUAGGUUAUUUGAGUUUCUUUUUCUGUGUGCGGCUAGGUCUCCCCUCUUCCAAAUGAGAUGAUGCGUGUGUGGCUAGAGAUUUGAGGAUAUAAUGAAUGAUGUGGCAUCUUGUGAUUGGUUGAAGAGGGAAAAUGAAGUGAUGCCGGUGUGCACGUGAUGGUCUCCUUCCCAUUUUGCAUAAUUAAACAACUCAUUGAUUAAUUUGUAGUGCCGCACGUUUUGGGUGGGAGAAGUUAAUUAAGCUCUUAAGCUUAAUUAGUUAGUUAACUAAUCAAGCUUAAUUGCUUAACUAAGAUAACUACCAUCUCGUCUUUUUGCCAAAAACUCUUCUUUGCUCCAAGUUCGAGUCAUUUCUCUCAUUUCCGUAACUUCCGUAUAUUUCCUACAAAAUAAAUAAAAAUAGAUUAAUUACUAUGAGAAUUAGCUAACUCAUAGUGUUUAAGUAGUAAUUAAGUGUAUAAAAAUACACGUAAUUACACCCCCACACUUGAACUUUGUUUGUUCUCAAACAAAUUAAAUAAAACAUAAACCGAAAACUACUAACUUAAACACACAAAUGCAAAUUAGUGGUGCUAGCAAGUCUUUCCAACCAUAUCCUCGGGGAACUAAAUUAUGUAAAUGACAAUGAAUUGAUCAAGCAUAUGUAUAGGUCUCAAAAAUUUAUUAGGUAAUUAAUAUAUAACAUGUAAAAGAUGUUUAUGUUCUAGCCAUGUGUCAAACCAAUUUACGACAAGUAAGUACGACAUACUAAACUUGGAUUAACCGCUAAACUCACAAGGAUGCACUAAAUAUUUCCGCUCAAGUGUUUAGGGCUAAUUGUGUUUCACUUGAUAACAAUUUCGCAAAUUUGGUCUCUAUAGGCUUGCUCUUCUACCGCAUCUCCGCUAGGUAGCUUCACAACUUUCAAGAUUAUGGGGUAUUUUAUUUGGUUAAAAUGGGGUUAAGGGCAUGUAGCUAAUAUAAAUGAAGGAUUUGAAAAUAAUAAGUCCAAAGAAAUCGGUGAAGUAACUCUCUCUUGUAGAGAUAUUAGAAUUUUGCUUUCAAGUGCUAGCUCACCCUCUCUAUUCCCAAUAACAACCCACUAACAAGACUAUACAAUUUUUUUUUCUUCUACAUUUUCUUUUCUUUUCUUUUUGUCCCUCUAUUUUUUUUUCACAUUUUCUUUUCUAUACAAAAUCACCACCCCCACACUUAUUCUUUUGUAACCUCACACUAUUGAGUUUUUCUUUCUUUUCGAAGCACUCGAACAUAAAGUUACUCUCUCGAGUUGUUUCACCAACUACCAUGGAAGAGUAGGAUAAAAUGUAUAGGCUAGGUAGGAAUUUGUGGUGCUAAAGAAUAAAAAGGCUAAGUAUAUACAUAGGCUCAAAGUGGCAAUCUAAUGGUAUAUCAUUUCGGGCACAUGCUUCUUUGGCCAUGGUGGUUAUUACUCCUAAUGCCUCAAUCUUUUUCAUCUCGUCAUGAACUAGCAAGUUGCCUUGAAGGGUAUGAAGCAAGUUCUAGAGAGACCGUAAUCGCAAAAUUGGCACACAUGAAGAAAAAGUAAAUACGAACAAUGCAUAUUUAUCAAGAAGGCUUAAAAUCUCAAAAUAGGUAUGCAAGUCAUACAAGUCUAGAUAUGCUUUCCCUACUUGUCAAAACUAGCACUCAAGCAUACAAUCACAUGUCNNNNNNNNNNNNNNNNNNNNCACAAGGCCUUGACUUCGAUAAUGGAUGCCCCAUAAAAGCUCAAGGUGCUCAUGAAGAUCAACUUCAAAUAGAAUGUACAAAGCUCUCGAGCAUGAAGUCACACAAAAGGAGUAAAGAGACAAGAUCAUCCAUUAAGCUCUUACACUUUGCCACCUCCAACACAUCUCAAUAUUGCCCUAUUCAUGCUCUCCAAAGAUGAAAUGAAGUGCAUAGAAGUCCAACCAACCAAAUGAACAAAAGGUAGUGAGUGAAGCAAACUUUCAGCAAUGACCUUUUUCUCAUGAAAUGCUCAUAUCUCAAACUGAGAAUGUGAUAAAUAGAUGAGGCUUCCCUUAGUGGAAAGUAGACUCAGAGAGCUUUCUAACCAUAUGAAGUAGGCCACCUAUCUCCCAACGAGAUAAAAACUAAAGCCGUCAAAGUUGCCGGUUUGUCAUGAAGUUUGCUGCUGACCCUCAGUCACCAAAAAUGCAAUAUCUGAAGCUCCAGAGGUGCAAAGUGGGUGAGGCCAACUGGAGGAAAAAUUAGACUCAUGUAAUCACAUUGUGUUAAAUUUUCACUGACAAAUGAUCUCUGAGUCAAAAUUGGUUGGCCUCGAAACUCACUGAACUUUUCUGCAGAUUCCGCUGUGCCCUGUUUCUGCCCUCUGUCACUUGGAACAUAUUAUCUGUAGCUAGGGAAAUGAAAACUGAAAACUGUUUUACCAGCAUGCACUAGACAUCUGAAGGCACAUCUCUGAAAAAUUUCAGCUCAAAAUGACAUGAUAUGUAGAAGAAGUGCCUCUUCAAAGUCAUUGCACAGUAGCAGUCUCUGUUCUGAUCUCCAUGCUUUGACCAUUUAAUAACUACAGUUCCAGUGACUCAAAGAGGCUAAAAUUUGGAAACAACACAGUAGACACAUAGGGGUAAUACUCCAAAAUUUUUCAGCUCCAAAUAGCAUCCAUACGGAAAAAUAUGAUCCCCCAAAGUCGACUGAAAAUCUGGACAGAAACUGUUCACUUCCCCGUUCUUGCAUUCUUCACAAUUCCGAUUCCAAACACCUCCCAACCUCCCAAAAGUUACUAUAAAGUCUUAUUCAACACAAAAAGAAGCUAAUAAUAACAGGAAUGUUACCGAUGAUGUGCUGGGGUUGCCUCCCUAGCGAGCGCUUUGUUUAAGGACGUCGUUGCCGGUCCAUAAGAUGUGAGUUUCAUCAAGUUGGAUACUUCUCAAGUGCGACGACCCUAUGUUAGGGGCUAAGGGAACCCUUGACAUAUCAUAGAGGCAUGACCAGGAGCUACAAAAGAAUACUCCAGUUUGAGGCCAAAAGAGUAGCCUCUUAGCUUUCCUCUUCUCAAUUCUACUUCGAGGAGCCAUCCUUACCUUCUCCUUCAAGGUAGAUGUAGAAAUGGUGCUCAUAGGAACAAUAGGUGGUAGAGGCUCUUGGAAGUGAUGGGGAAGUUUGAUCACAAGAGCUCCAUUUCCUUUCCAAUCUAUUACCUCAUUGUAGAACCAUAGACCACUUAAAUGUGGAUUGAGAGNNNNNNNNNNNNNNNNNNNNUUUGAAAGGUACAUUAGGUUUCUUUUAUCAUCACUAAAGUGUUGUAUGUGGUCAGAUUAACCGCUUCAUUAUAAACAUAAUUGUUUUAAGAUAUGACGAAUAAGUCUAAAUAUCAUAUAACAUUCUAGGUUUAGGUUUUCGGUUCGUCGUUUACAUGACUUAUAUUUUUUAGGGUAGGGUCAUCAUCAUUCUCGUCAAACUAUUGUAUGUCACCGUGAGAGCGAGCGAGUGAUUUGCUUCAUUCGUGGGUGGUUUCUAUGUCCUCAUGUUAGCUUCAUCCGUCACUUUAGCAUUGGAGUGCAUUAUCUUCUCUCAUAUUUUUCUCAUAGCCUGUUGAAAACUUGUGAAUCGAGUUUUGCAUGCCUCAUCAUAAUUAUUCGUCUCCUUAUCAAAAGACGUCCUUGAGUAGCUUCAGGUCACUCUAAUGCAUCUCAUGCUUUUGGCAAAAUGGUUCAUGGUUGUACCCUAAAUGUCUCGAGUGAAUACUGGCCAAAUUUUACAAAGGUGAUGUGUUUAGAUGCACAUCUUAACAUGAUAUUUGAAUCUUUGAUGAUUCAAAUCAGAAAGAAUAUUUGUAGAAGAAGCUGGAAAAAAAAAUAUACAAAAGAAAAAUAUAUAUACUUUGGCGUAUUGCUAUUAACACACCCCAUCUAUUUUCAUAUCGACACAUGUUUAUUUUAUUUACAAACUUGUCACUUUAAUUUGAUUGAUUAUUGGUUAAUAGCAUCACCCUGAUACUACUUUUGAAAGGUACAUUUGGUUUUUUUGUCAUCAUGAAAGUGUUAUAUGUGGUCAAAUUAACAGUUUCAUAAUUAUAAUUGUUUUAAGAUAUGACGAAUGAGUCUAAAUAUCAUAUAACAUUCUAGGUUUAGGUCAUCAGUUUGUCGCUAACAUGACUUACACUUUUUUGGUUUUCAAUAUGAGGGUCAUCAUCAUUCUCGUCAAGCAAUUAUAUAUCGCCGUGAGAGGGAGUGAUUUGCUUCAUUCGCUGGUGAUUUCUAUGUCCUCAUGAUGGCUUCAUCUAUCAUUUAGCAUUGGAGUCCAUUGUUUUAUUUUCAUCUUCUCUCAUAUUUUUCUCAUUAUAGCCUGUUGAAAAAUUGAGUUGUCACUCCCCAAUUUUCGAAAGGAAAUUUUCAAAAUUUUUGGCAUGAUAUAACUUAAAAUAGUAUAAUCCCAAAACCUGCUUUCAACAAAAUUCAAGAAAAAUAAACUCAAGGCGAAAUGUAAAUUUACACACAACUCCAAAUUGAGUUAAAUAUUACAUUUCCUUGUUUACAUAAACUUGAAAGUCAAGAAAAUGAAACGCUCACAUGAGUUUAAUAUUGUCCAUCCCAAUGUAUAUAGAAAAAAUAAAUAUACAAAAAACAACCAAAACCCAACAAAAAAAAACCCUAGCCACUAGGUCUCCACCUCAACCCUGCUGAUCCUCACCUGCAGGUCUAACCCCUACACUAAGAAAUGGUGCACCGGGUUGUAAACAACAAACCUGGUAAGCUAAAAAGCUCGUAUGAGUAAACUCAAAAAUAACAAAACAUUUAUCACAUCCAAUAUUCCACAAGAGAGAUUUGAUCCAUAAUUAAAAACCACACAUCCAACACAUCACCCAAGAAAUGUACCCAUGAGUCCCAUAUAUUUAAUAAAAUACCCCUCAUGACCUACAACAACACUAUGUGUACCCAUGGGUCUCAGAUACCAUACAGUAUCUCCCAUGACCUACACUGACAGACGGACUAUAGUUCUAUUCCUAACCGCAACCAAUCACCCGGCCAAAGGCUUGAAACCCGGUUUGACUGUCUAAUAUCAAACACAAAAAUGAUAAAUAGCAUCUUAACCGCAACCAAUCACCAAAUUAAGGGCUUGGAACCCGGUUUGGCUAUUUAUCCAACAAUCAUAAUAUCACAACAUUAUCCUCACAACACAAUAUCACAUCAUUAUUCUCAACAACACAAUAUCACAUCAUGAAUUAUAUCCUACCACAUGAAUAUAUUUACAUGAACAAUUAUAGAUAUUCCACAAGAAUAAUCUAUCAAAAAUAAAGAAAAUUAUGAUCACAUGAAUCUCAAAAUAGCAUUUAAAGAAACUUGUUUUAUCUUACCUACGAGCCGUUGACGAUCAAGCUCAUAUAUUUUUAAAAUAAUUAAAAGCAUAUUAAUAAAUCUAACAUCAUCAUCAUUAUCAUCAUAUGACCAUAAUAAUAUUUGGUUUGAAAGUGAACCUUGGUGAGAUUUACUCACCUAGAUAUCCUGCUGCAAAACUCCCAACACAACGAAAGCAAGCCAAUCACAAAAUCACAAAUCACCUAAAAUCACACAAUUAAACACCUUAGAAACCAAAGUAGUAAAGGAUAACACAAUACCCUUAAACUAACCCUUAGCUCAAAGGGAGGACAACUUCCCAUUGUCGUUGAACUCAACGACACAAUAGAGCUGCCUCAACUCUUCAAAACCUAAACUCUAACCCAACCAAGCCAACACAAAUAAACUUAAGUCCUAACAUGCCAACCUUACUUAAAAUCUAGCCAUACUACCACUCAACAAGCUCACAGCAGCAAGGACUAGCUAACCACAGGAAACUAAGGCCGCAACUCAGCCGGACGCGACGCCACGCGCCGCCACGCGCGGCGGCGAGUGGCCCCCACGCGCCACCCCAAACUUCCGAAUUAGGAGAAACUCACAACAGCAAAGUUGAAGCUUGAAGCAAGGGGAACAACUUUCAUACCUGAGGUUUCAACCAAUUUUGGCCGGAACCGGCCGGAAACUACCCCGAACAGUGACCAGAAAAUUCAACUACAAAACCUGCAAAACCGGCCUCAAAACCUCAAAAACUUGCUUCAAUCCAUGCCUAGCCACAACUAGAAGGAGGAGAGGAUCAAAACUCACCGAGGUUUGCCUCUCGUCGCCGCCGUAUACGGCGGUUCCGACCGGUGGCACAACAGCCCCUUUUUGCCGGCCAAAACGUCGUUUCCGGUGUCCUACACCGAGCAGCAGCUGCCCAGCCUUGAAGAGGGCACUUGUGGGAGUCGAACGGGACCGGCGGCGGUCCAAAUGGCGGCCGGACGGCAGAGCUAGCUCCGGUAGAAGUUUGGUGUGCGGGUGAGUUCAGGAGAGGGAAAAGAGAGCAGAGAGGAAAGAGAGUGAAGUAAGUGGGGAGAGUGAGAAAAGAGAGAGCUGUUUAGUGUUAGGGUUUCCCAAAAUAACCCGCACACAUUUUUCUACUUAAACACUUUCCACACCCGGAACCUAAUUUCCUCUGACCAAAUUUUUCUCAUACGACAUCCGUUUUAGGCGUGCCGCAUGUCUACGAACUUGUAUCGACAAACUCUACAACUUUCAUGAAGAAAGUUUUCGAAGAUAACCUACGGAAAAUAAAGUCAACUUUUGGCCUCUUAAAAGUCAAAGCACUUUAAAUAAACUCCCGAAACUUCAAGUUCGCAUAAACCCAAGAAUUUUCAUAAAUAAUCCUUCAUUAAUUAAGGGAAUAAUACAAGGAAAAAUGAUAUGAAAAUCUAGGGUAUUACACGAGUUUUGCAUGCUUGAUCAGAAUUAUUAGUCUCCUUAUCAAAAGACGUCCUUGAGUAGCUUCAGGCUACUAGUCUAACGCAUCUCAUGCUUUUGGCAAAAUGGUUCAUGGUUGUACACUUUGUUUACACCCAAAUUAACAUUUUACCGAACAGUAAAUGUCUCGAGUGAAUACGGGCCAAAUCCGUGGCCUACGUCGCAUGUUAUCGACGAGCCUGAAAUAUUGGGUUUACAAGUGAUGGCCUACAACGAAAUCGUACGAGCUGAACGGUAAAGUUCGCAUGCGAGAUGGAGUUUGCAUGCAAAGAGACUUGCGAAGUUGCCAUGCGAGUUAGACAAGGCUUGCAUGCGAGGAGGUAGAGUUCGCAUAUGAGUUCGCAUAGAAGAAGGACUUCGCAUGUAAGGACUAGGAAACAUAAGUUAUCCAAAAUGACUGGUCGACUACGUUUAAUUGCUUGGUGGAGGACUUACGAAGUAGGUAUGCAUGCGAAAAGCUAGCAAUAUUUGCAUGCGAAGAGUUGGCUAUAGUUACAUGCGAAAAAGGAGAUCAUUAUCUUUGGAUUUGUAAUACAUGUUGCCAAGGUCUGAUCAUUAUCCCUCGUCUAUGUGUGAAAUAUAUGUGCAUGAAAAGGGCCUGGCUCGCGCGUGCGUUUAAUAUAUCGAACAUCGAAAUUAAGGGCAAUAUAUGUGCAUGCAAAAUAAUUUUGUGUAAAAUAUGCAAACAUAUAUUUUAAAGAUAGUCAUCGGGAAAGUUGUUAAAAAGUUUAUGUGUUGAACACAUAAUUAUAAAUUGAGCAACUCAUUAUAGUAAUUUGAUGAUACAGUUUGUAAUAAAAGAAUAAAAACUAAUGAUACAGUUUAUAAAUUGUGCAAAAUAAUAUAUGUGCAAUAUAUGUGCAUGCAAAAAUAUAAAAGAAUAAAAACUAAUGAUACAGUUUCAAAUAUAGCCCAUUUAUAAUAAAAGAAUAAAAACUCUUUAUAAUGAAAGAAUAAAAACUAAUGAUACAGUUUCAAUGUCAGCAACAUCAACAUGUUACCACAUUCGUACAUGUAUAAGGUCUUGCUUUUUCUUCAAGUUCCAGAGCUGUUGGUACCGAUUCCAUUCUGUAUUUGCAAUUGGUUAAUGGCUGUUCAUAGUUGUUAUUUGAAGGUAUCUUAGUGCAAAUGAUUGAUUUCUUUUCUUCCCGGUAAUCGUUGCUCCGUGCACUCCUGUUUUCCUUUUGCAUCUAACUGAAUUUAAUUACUCUUUCAAUUCCACAUUUUCUAUUUAUUCUGUGUCAUCAACUUUAUGUAUAUUUUGUUUUCAGAUUGGUUUACUUGCUUUGGGUUUCUAUUUGUGUUCUUAAUCUGUUCCUGAAUCAUCUCUUGCUUCCAUUUCCAAUGAAGGUUGUAUCGAUGACCUCUGUAAGAUAGGAACGCUUCAAUGCUUGGCCUAUAGAGUAAUAAAUCUUUUUCCAAAUUGGUAAACCCUAUAGAAAUCAAUGGCUAUAUAUGUAAUACAUCUUUUUCCAAAUUGGUUUGGUUUAAUUAAUGGAGACUAGCUUUCCUGAGAACUAUAAAUGUGCUAUAUAUAUUUGGUUCAAUCUGAGAACUAUAAAUUCACAAUUUUUAUGCAUUACUNNNNNNNNNNNNNNNNNNNNAGUGUAGUCUCUCACCUCACUUGCAUUUGAACUCUCAUAACCAAGCUCACUUUCUUGUACAUCACCAUCACUAUCAUCAUCUUUAAUUUGAAUUAAAGACUCAUGCUCAAGAUUGAUGUACACUUCUUCUCUUGGAAUAUGCUCCACUUGAUCAAAGAAAGGCUCUUUGCAAAUAUAAAGUGGUGCGAUGUUGCUCUUGAAGGAUGCUAGCUUUGACAUAAUCCAUGAUUGGACCGACACUCUCACAUGAUGCUUUAAAUUGAGCAAACAAUUAUGCAAUGGAUGAGUGUCUCCGCUCUCACACUUGAUCUUGAGGAGAUUGCUCAUAUCUCAUUUGGUAUUUCCAUCCAUGAUUCCAUCGUUCCAUAGCUCAAAUUAGUAAGAAAUAAGUACCUAUGGAAUCCCAAGAGUGACAUUAGUAACAAAAAAUUAAAAAGAAAGUAGAGAAAUUUUAUUAACACAUCCCUAAUUACUAGAUACACAUCUCAUUUUAAAUACACCACCUAUUGACUUUGUUAUUUUAACAUUCUAUUAGAUACACAUACCCAACCUUUCUACAAUACCCUCACUAAAUACACAAUCCAUUUACUAAAUACACGUACUUUUUUAGACCUGUUACUCAAUUUAUUCAAAAAAAGAAAAAGAAAAAAGAGAGGAUUAUAUAUAUAGCAUCAUCCCAAGUUCUAGUUUGGUGUCAGUUUGAACUACCUAGCAUGAGUGAAUAGUAGAAUCUAAAUUUCAAACUUCAAUUUGUACUAUCGAUAGUAAAUCCUUGAUAAUUUAAUAUUUGAUAAAUUAAUAACCUUGAUUAUAUAAUAUUUUUUAUCAGUCCCGAAAUAAAGAAUUAGCAAAAUUGUCGUCAAUAAAUUAACAAUCCCGAUUGAAUAAUAUUUUUUCCGGUCCCGACAUUAUUAAUUUAUAGAGGUUUAAAUUAUAGGGCUUGGUAUCUUCACAUACGUUGUUCUCGUAUAAAAGAAGAAAACUCUUAAGCGAGAUAUUUUAUUUCAACAAGUUUUCUUUACUUUUGAUAUGAAUGUCUCUUUUGGUAAUUUUACGUACCCACAAAGUCUUAUAUAAUUUGUAGAAAAAAAGAUAUGUGUAUCUAGCAUUUAGGGAUGUGUUAAUAAAAUUUCUCAAGAAAGUAAAAAAAUAAGCACACAAAACAUAACUAACUAACUGGAACAAUUUUUUUUUCUUUUUCCUUUUAUCAAAAAUAAACAAAACAUAAACAAAUAUGCUAAAGUGACCUAUGACCGAUUCACCAAGGGAUUAAGGCUAUUAAACCUUAAUCCCCGGCAACGACGCCAUUAAUUUGAAGAAAAUGAGAAAGCCAAGUCAGUGUCGUAUUCAUUCUUUUAUUUAUACGGUUCAGAAGACAAGCCAAGUUUAAUGAGAACUUCAAAUGGAGUGGUUUUAUUUAUACGAUUGGUGUGAGGACACGGCCAUGUAAAUGAUGUAAUUGAUAGUGAAGGUAACUUCACGAGAAUCAUGCUUGAAACUUGAAAGUAGGAGUCAUCAUGCUUGUUAAUAUUCGUUGUCUAAUUUUUGAGCUCUGAUCCCAAAAUCAAAAAAAAAAAGGCACGUGUGACACGAGCGGGAGUCAAAUUGAAUCGCAAAUAGAGACGUUGCUGGAUUGAGUUCGAUGGAUNNNNNNNNNNNNNNNNNNNNAAAACUUGUGAAUCGAGUUUUGCAUGCCUCAUCAUAAUUAUUCGUCUCCUUAUCAAAAGACGUCCUUGAGUAGCUUCAGGUCACUCUAAUGCAUCUCAUGCUUUUGGCAAAAUGGUUCAUGGUUGUACCCUAAAUGUCUCGAGUGAAUACUGGCCAAAUUUUACAAAGGUGAUGUGUUUAGAUGCACAUCUUAACAUGAUAUUUGAAUCUUUGAUGAUUCAAAUCAGAAAGAAUAUUUGUAGAAGAAGCUGGAAAAAAAAAACAUAACAAAAGAAAAAAUAUAUAUACUUUGGGGUAUUGCUAUUAACACACCUCAUCUAUUUUCAUAUCCACACAUUUUUAUUUUAUUUACAAACUUGCCACUUGAAUUUGAUUGAUUAUUGGUUAAUAGCAUCACCCUGAUACUACUUUUGAAAGGUACAUUUGGUUUUUUUGUCAUCAUGAAAGUGUUAUAUGUGGUCAAAUUAACAGUUUCAUAAUUACAAUUGUUUUAAGAUAUGACGAAUAAGUCUAAAUAUCGUAUAACAUUGUAGGUUUAGGUCAUCAGUUUGUCGCUAACAUGACUUACCCUUUUUAGGUUUUCAAUAAGAGGGUCAUCAUCAUUCUCGUCAAGCAAUUAUAUAUCGCCGUGAGAGCGAGUGAUUUGCUUCAUUCGCUGGUGAUUUCUAUGUCCUCGUGAUGGCUUCAUCUGUCACUUUAGCAUUGGAGUCCAUUGUUUUAUUUUCAUCUUCUCUCAUAUUUUUCUCAUUAUAGCCUGUUGAAAAAUCGAGUUUUACAUGCUUGAUCCGAAUUAUUAGUCUCCUUAUCAAAAGACGUCCUUAAGUAGCUUCAGGCUACUAGGGCAUCUCAUGCUUUUGGCAAAAUGGUUCAUGGUUGUACACUUUGUUUACACCCAAAUUAACAUUUUACCGAACAGUAAAUGUCUCGAGUGAAUACGGGCCAAAUCCGUGGUCUACGUCGCAUGUUAUCGACGAGCCCGAAAUAUUGGGUUUACAAGUGAUGGCCUACAGCGAAAUGGUACGAGUUGAACGGUAAAGUUCGCAUGCGAGAUGGAGUUUGCAUGCAAAGAGACUUGCGAAGUUGCCAUGCGAGUUCGACAAGGCUUGCAUGCGAGGAGGUAGAGUUCGCAUAUGAGUUCGCAUAGAAGAAGGACUUCACAUGUAAGGACUAGGAAACAUAAGUUAUCCAAAUUGACUGGUCGACUACGUUUAAUUGCUUGGUGGAGGACUUAUGAAGUAGGUAUGCAUGCGAAAAGCUAGCAAUAUUUGCAUGCGAAGAGUUGGCUAUAGUUACAUGCGAAAAAGGAGAUCAUUAUCUUUGGAUUUGUCAUUAACAUGUUGCCAAGGUCUGAUCAUUAUCCCUUGUAUAGGUGUGCAAUAUAUGUGCAUGAAAAGGGCCGGGCUCGCGCAUGCGUUUAAUAUAUCAAACAUCGAAAUUAAGGGCAAUAUAUGUGCAUGCAAAAUAAUUUUGUGUAAAAUGUGCAAACAUAUAUUUUAAAGAUAGUCAUUGGGAAAGUUGUUAAAAAGUUUGUGUUGAACACAUAAUUAUAAAUUGAGCAACUCAUUAUAGUAAUUUGAUGAUACAGUUUGUAAUAAAAAAAUAAAAACUAAUGAUACAGUUUAUAAAUUGUGCAAAAUAAUAUAUGUGCAUGCAAAAAUAUAAAAGAAUAAAAACUAAUGAUACCGUUUCAAAUAUAGCCCAUUUAUAAUAAAAGAAUAAAAACUCUUUAUAAUGAAAGAAUAAAAACUAAUGAUACAGUUUCAAUGUCAGCAACAUCAACAUGUUACCACAUCCGUACAUGUAUAAGGUCUUGCUUUUUCUUCAAGUUCCAGAGCUGUUGGUACCGAUUCCAUUCUGUAUUUGCAAUUGGUUAAUGGUUGUUCAUAGUUGUUAUUUGAAGGUAUCUUAGUGCAAAUGAUUGAUUUCUUUUCUUCCUGGUAAUCGUUGCUCCGUGCACUCCUGUUUUCCUUUUGCAUCUAACUGAAUUUAAUUACCUUUUUUUUUUUUUUUUGGUUACAGGAAGGGAUCAAAACAGACCCAAAACAAAGAAUUUAAUUACUCUUUCAAUUCCACAUUUUCUAUUUAUUCUGUGUCAUCAACUUUAUGUAUAUUUUGUUUUCAGAUUGGUUUACUUGCUUUGGGUUUCUAUUUGUGUUCUUAAUCUGUUCCUGAAUCAUCUCUUGCUUCCAUUUCCAAUGAAGGUUGUAUCGAUGACCUCUGUAAGAUAGGAACGCUUCAAUGCUUGGCCUAUAGAAAUCAAUGGCUAUAUAUGUAAUACAUCUUUUUCCAAAUUGGUUUGGUUUAAUUAUUGGAGACUAGCUUUCCUGAGAACUAUAAAUGUGCUAUAUAUAUUUGGUUUCAAUCUGAGAACUAUAAAUUCACAAUUUUUAUGCAUUACUUUUUCUGUAUUGUAGUAAUUUGAUAUCAGAGAGCACGAUGAAGAUGAUUCAGAAUUCUCCUUCAUUGGCGGAGUCCCCAAGAAGCUGUGGUGCCGAAUUUUCAUCGUCCAAUCCGUAGUUCCAAAAUGAAAAAUAGGUUUGUUUUGUGUGAUUGUAAUUCUGGAUUAAUGAGUAUUCGUACUGUAUGAGAUCUUAUUGGUUCAUCGAUAUGAGUUUUUUGUAUUUGGAUAAUGUAGUUUUUUUGCUGGAGAUGCUCUAAAUGUGUUUUGUUUUCAUUCGAGGUUCUCCGCUUAAAACUAUUGUAAAUGUAUUUUUAAUGUAUGCUCUCUCAUGAGAUAAACAAAAUUGAACUUUCGUGAUAUUGUGUUUCCUUCUGGCAUUUUGUUAUUAGGUUUUGGAUUGAUGACUAAGUUAUACAUUAUAAUUGUUCUAAAUGUUAGCUACCUAUAAAUGACUACCCUAUUUCUUUUUUAUUCUGUAGUCAUGAAACUAAUGUUUUUCUUUGGAUUUUUCAGGUAACAAGCUUUGAAGAGGGCAAAUGAGUUUUAGCAAGGUACACCGUUUCUAAUCAUAUUACGUCUUCAGUUCUUAAAAUGAAUUUUAGUUUUUUAAUUGAUAGUGCUUGCAUUUCAUCCACGAUGCUGCCAAGCAGAACCUGCAAGACCGCAGACUUCACUUCUUAAAUCACACCACAAGUGCAAAGCAGAGACCAGACAUAUGCAUUUGAAAAAAAGUGUGGAAACAAAUAUAUCAUCUCAAAAUAGGUAGACAAUAUAAACCUGACGAUGCUAAUUACGUGUUAAGCUGUUUUUGUUUUCAUAUUGGACUCUUAAUUGGCCCUUAUACCUUAUGACAAUGCUAAUGCAUUUGAUCAGCUUUUUCUAUACAACAAUGCAAACAUUCUAGAUUAUGACAUGAAAGUUUUGAAAAUGUUAUCCCCUCAAGGUAUGAGGUCCCUAUGUGGUUCAGAACUUAAGGGGGGCUCAUUUUGAUUUCAUACAGGUAGUAUAUGAAAAAUGUUUAACUUUGAUGUAUAUGUUCUUAGAUUGAUUUUCCAUUUCAAGUAGUAAACUAGCUCUGCCAAAAAAAAAAAGGUGUAUAUUAGCAGGAAUGUUUAUGUUUUCUUUUCUUUUUCUUCCAUCCUUCUAAUAUUUAUACCUUCUGACUUGGACUUUGUAUUUGUCAGCACGAUCUCAUUUGUAUUAACUAAUGCUAAUGUCAAAAUCUCGAAUACGCAGUAUUACAGUACCUAGUUGGUCUCAUAGCCAAGAUUUAUAGUUCUGCAUUGUUAUGUACCCGUUCAAUAUUUGUAGCCAAGGUUUAUAUCGUAUUUCUCUUCUUUUGCAUUUCAUUAGCUCAUAAGCCCUUCAUAUUGUACUACAUGGUCUAGGUCAAUAGGCCCUUCAAAUUGUCCUUGAUGCUACAAUACACAGGGAGGAUGUAUUUAAGUCUUUAACAGGGGAGGGGCAUACACUGGCAGUUUGGAACAUAGAUCUAUCCAAGUUAUAAACAGUUUUUUGGCACACAGAUCGAGCUGCAUCUACCUAAAAUGUUCAAUGAAUAUGUGUGAUGUGCAAUUUGUAGUUGAGAUGCUGUACUUGGGAGAAUCACUUGAGCAACUCUUACAAUUAGCUCUACGGAGGAAGUUUGUAAUGUUUUCUAAUAGUUUAUUAAUUAUUUGACCGGAGACAAUUACAUUUUUUGACUGUAUUGUUGCAUGUAACGUAAACUAAUGUUAAAAGCGAAAAAAUAUUAAACGCACGCGCGAGCCAGACCCUUUAUAAAUAAUAUAUUGCACACAUAGAAACUUUCCUUGUGAUAUCAAACAUAUAUUUUAAACUUUCCCGAUCACUAUCCUUGUGAUAUCAAACAUCGAAAUUUAGAGUUUUUGUAAUAUAACAAUAUUUCAUUUCCGUAAGGAGAAAUUUUAUUCACACGUACUAAAUUUCUUAAUGCACACCAUUAUUUUUUGGAGUCACCACGGCUGGAACUGCACAAGGGCUUAAACUUUCUCUGAUCAAGCCUUUCUUCAUUGCUCCCCCUAGCCCCUACAGUUAAGCAGCAAAAACCCAGCCUGCCUCAUCAGUAUAACCGUUUCUAAAGUUCUUGAGAAAAAAAAAGAAACCAACUGCUCCUCAAACUACUCAGACCUCAUUUAAAUCAAUAAUAAAGUAAAAUGAAAUUAGACAUAAAAAAAAAAUAUUUAAAUAAAUAAAAUCAGGACAUCACACAAAUGAUAACCCAUAACAAAAAGUUUUUGAAGCCCUAUUAUUCUUCUCCGUUUGUUUAUGAGAGUUCACACAAAAAAUGCAAGCAGAUGAUGGAAAUAUGAUAUAUUCAAAGAUGGACAAUAGGAAAUGCAUAAUUAGAUGUAAAUAUGGAUGUGAUUCUCAGUAUGCAAAUGUCAUCCAUUAACAUUCUACUACAUGAUCAUCACCAAACCUAUCAAAUUUGAAUGAAGCUAAAACACAUAUACAUACUCAUAAUCUGUAAAACUAUCCACAUAUGUUACAAUAUCUUUCCACUCCUUUCAUUUCUUUUUUAUUCAAAUCAAAAAACACUAAAUCAACAGAAGAAAAAAGUAACCUGAAUUACAGAGACCAUCCACAAAUAGGCACAGCAACAGCAACCAAAAUCUACCAGCAAAAUCAAAAAAUAAAUAGUUAGCCUUAAAAGUUUAUACAGUAUACAGUGAACAUAAGGAGACAAAAAUUUCUUAUCUAAUUUCUGAUAUACAUACUACCCCCUCACCUUCUAAAACAGGAAAAACCAUGAAUGAUGAUAAGCCAAUUGAGUAUGGUAACUCUGUAAAACACACCAUUCAAAUCAUAAAGCCAAUUGACCAGCUCACAUCCACAAACAUUAAAAAUGAAAUCGAGGGAAAAUUGAAAGGAUUACAAAGACCUCAAAAAGAGACGAAGUCACUAUCUUCCAGAGCAAACCAAAUCCAAAAACUAUCUAGUCCUCUUCACCAUAGUUUCAAUAGCUGAUACUGUAACGACAAUAAGAAAACCCAUAAUCAGAAUCCAAUUUAUACAAAACCCUAACUAAAAAUGGAACAGGAAAUUUGUUGAAGGUCGCCAUAUAAUCCAUAACAGCAUUCUUCCGCAAUUCGGUAGUAGAAUAGAAUGCAGCUGCUACAUAUAUAGACAAUUGUUUCCCCUCGAGCUAUAGAAUUACAAAAUGCAUAAUUAGGGUCAUAUAAGUAAUAGGCCAUUAACCAAUAAAUUUUCAGCCUGUAUCACUGUCAUUAUCUUGAUAUUCAGUUUGGAUAGUUUUUGACUAACCAUCUAUAUAGAAGCAUAUAGAGAAAUUAGAGUUACCUUUACCACCUUAAUGCGCCGUUUGCUUCCUGCGUGCAGUUUAUGCAUCUUAGAGCCUCAAAUGGUGCCUACUCCGCCAGAUGAAAACGACAAAUAGAAACAAAACUUCAUGAGAUUGAAGAAUUGAGUAGUAAGCAAAAUUGCAUACAAAUUAAAACAACCCAACCGCAUUUAAAUGACAUCACCAGAUCACACGUGUAAGUCUGUAACCAAAUAUAUCCGGUUCCUUCAGAAUGGAGAUAGGAAGAAAACUUGGAACUAAUUAACUUAAUGAAGACAAAAAAUUAUAAAUGUAAUCAAAUAUAUAGGAUUCCUUCAAAAUAUAUAAAAAUUAGAGCAAACUACUAAAGGUAGUAGAGUUUAAGAACACCCAGAGAAAAGUAAUUGAAGCAAAGUACCCAAACCGAUUCACUGGUUAAAUAGACGGUUGAAUCUGCAAUCAACGAUUCUGAUACCAAUCUUUUACUAUCUCUGGGUUUUAGUUUGCUCUGCUCCUCAAUCUGUGUGAGUUCCACAUAAAUUUAUCACCAAAGGUAGUAAAGGAAAAAGAAUCAUAUACCACAGAAUAGAAAUAAUUGAACAAUACCUUUUAUUACCAAAGACAGCCAAAUUGAAAAAACAGUAUCUUUCCUUCUUUCAUCACACAAUCCCCAAAGAAGUACCCUUUAAGCUUAAUUGAUUAUGAUCUUCUCUUUCUGCAGACCAGCACUAACAGAAAAAAAGAGUAGAUUAGAAACGCAACUAAAACAAACUCCGAUUAAUCUUAGUUUCAAAUUCUCACAUUGCAAAGCUGCACAAGUAAAAUAUAAAGAUGCAUUUGUUUUGAAAAUAAAUUAAAAGUGUACCUCAAAACUUCAUCCAAUCCCGCCCUCUUUCAUCAUUCAAAAUCUCAAUCUCACUUGCUCUGCAUCGAAUGGAAAAAAAAGUUAAAAGAAGAAGAGGAUUAUGUGAUAGAACUAAAAGAAAAGCAUGAGAAAUUAUGGACACUAAUCUGGGAUGCCUAAAUGGCUACACAUUUGCAGAUAACAAAAAAGGAAGCUGUUAUGCCCCUUGAUAGGUUAAUUGAUCAAUCAAUAAAGUUAAACAUGCACAAAAAAAUGCAAAUCGUUUCAGUUAGUUAACAAUCGAAAACAGUAUAGAUGGAACGAUAAACAAACUCAGGAUUAUAAAAUCACUUACUCAUAGUUUACAUUACUUUCUCCAUACCUUAAAUCAAAGAAAGAAGACAAUAUACAUAUAUGAUCCACAUAUUAAAAAUAUAAUAAUAAUAAAUAAAAAAAACUCUAUCAGAAAAAUGCAAAAUUAAUUUUACAUGCUUAGCCACACUCAAGCCUGAAUACCCCCUUUCAAGCUUCAUUUUCAGCCAAAACUAAACAGAUAUAUAUAUUUAUUUCAUUGGACAUGUUAAAAAUUCAAAUACUGAUAGUUCACAUGUGAGGUCCAUGCGCUGCUUUGGUAACUAAAGGGUUGGACCUCCGUGCAAGUCUCAAUUUGCAAACAGAUGGAGGAAUAAUUGAGUUUGGCCAAUCGAGAGACUGAUCAUUGUGAUCAAACGUGGAGGUUUGUCCGCGGUCAGCUCUUUCGUAGAGAACGUGGCUUUUGGUGUGUGGGAUUAUGUGGUCAAACGUGGGAUGAAAUUUGUCCGGAGAAAGGGUGUGCGCGACGUGUCAUUUGUCCAUGCGCGACGACAUUUGUCCGCGCACGAUGGCCAUGCGAGACCAAUUUGUCCGCGCACAAUGGCCAUUCUAGACCAAUUUGUCCACGCACAAUGGUCAUGCGAGACCAAUUUGUCCACGCACAAUUUGCCCGUGCGAACUGAAUUAUCCGGAAAUGCCCAUGCAAAAUGAUACAUGUUUGAAGAAAAAAAUAUAUGAUUUCACAUAUAAUGUGUUGUGCAAAUACAAUGUAUAAUUGAUUCACAACACUAACUGCACGAUAUAUUUCUUAAUUGAUAUUAGAGCUUAUCCACAAUAGUAAAUACCCAAUGUGUUUCCUUAUGGUCAUUAGAUUUGAUUCACCAUGUGCUUCCUUGAUGGUUAUUUUCUAACUAAAGACUAUUGCCAUUGUUCAUCACCAACACCUUUGAAAGAUGAUACCUGCAAAGAAAAGGGAAACACUACUAGAAACCAAUAACAGAUAACCAAAUUGAUGCUUGCAAGCUGCAACACACUAUACUUUAAAAUGACUUUCAUCAUCUGCUAAGGAAAAUGUCAUUAAUCUGUAAUAUCAGAACAUACAGAUACAGUUUAUGCAUCCAAUAAAUGGAAAUCCAGAUAAGGGUUGUACUUUUUCUGGUCUGACAGAGAAGGGUGGGAUGGUCAGGAACACCACCAUUUGGCACUUGAUUUGAUUAUGGGGUACUAUCAUCCAAUAUCAAAAGGCCAACACAAUAUCUUGUUAUGCCUAAUUGCUAUAUCAGUGAAGCUUGUAUUUUUAGUUCAAAGUUCAAACCACCUACCUAAUAUAACAAGUCAAUACUAAUUAGCAUAACAAAAUUUGCCAAGAAGCAAAUGCACCAAACCUAGCGCUUCUGCUGCUCUUUUCUGGCUCUCUUCGCUGUAAAGCUGUAAAUGCCAACAAGCAUGCUCAUAAGAAAUUCCCUCUGAUCCAUUUCAAGUGUUUAUCCAAGCCUUGAGCCACCAUCUCCAUCUCAGGCUGCACAGAAAAAACCAUCAUCAAGAAACUGAUCCCAAACGGAACAACAAAGUUAGGAAGGAAAGUCAAUUUCUCAUGAUGCAUGUGUACAUUGAUUAGAGGCCAGCCAGGUCAUUAAAAAUAUUAUAUCUAUAUAUAUAUAGCCACAGACUCGCAAUGUUUUUGAUUCAAAAAAGACUCGCAAUGUCGGUUUGAAGUAUUUACUCGGAUUGAGCAUAAGAUAAUUUUCUUAACUAGAAAAUGUAAAACAAAAACCAUUAAACAAAGAGAAAAUAUAUUCUUAAUAACACCGUAACAAAGGUAAAAAAAAUACAGGUGAAGAAUAUACUGAAAAACUAUAAAGCAAAUGCCCUAAGAAAAAUAGCUCUCAGACAAUAUAGGAACAUGAAUAGAGGCUGUUAGUGCUAUGAGUCAAAAAUUGUUGCUUUGUUGUGGUAAAGUUGUUUGAUGAAUUAUAGAGCACGUACCGAGGACUCCUCGGGAGGGAAAAUCCGCCAAACAAGGCAUAUCUUUGACAGUUCCACUACUGCUUCUGCGUGUUUACCUUGCAUCACUAAAGCUUGCAAUCAACAAGAAUAAAACAUUAAGUGCCAAAAAUUCACAGUUAUGUUUCCAACUGUACUCCAUGGUUUUUGGAGUACAUAAUUGAUAUAAUUUUCUAAAUUGAUUUUAGAGUUCUAGACCACUGACAUUGACUAACCCAACUCAGCCGUAUGACUACAAUUAGUGAUAGCCAACAUGAAAGGAACAAUCAAAUCUGAAAAACUGAAAACUCCAAAUACAAUAAACUUACCGUCUACGAAUCUGAUCCAGCCCUUCACCCACAAAAUUUCCAGGGAAGUUUUUCACAAAAAGUUCAACAUUCUCAAAAGGAUAGUGGAUUUAAGCACAAGGCAUGGAACCACUCAUGAACCAUUGUUCAAACGCAUGAAAAGAUAAUUAAACAAGUCAAACAUCUAUAUCAUUAGGCAGACAUCAGUGGUUGAGCAAAUUGGUUCACUACAGAAUACUCUUUAUAAAACAUGAAAAACCAUGAAUUCAUAAUUGGCGAUAUAUUGAAACUACUCCCCCACUUUAUAAAGCAGGAAAAACCAUGAAUGGAUGAUAAGCCAAUUAAGUAUGGUAACACAGUAAAACACACCAUUCAAACCAUAAAGCUGAGCCACAAAGAAACAAUAACAUUGUAGGCCAAGUUGAAAGAAAAGACGAUACAUUUUAGAAUAGCUGCAACGAGAAUAAGCAAGCCUGAAUCUAAAACUACAUAAAAACCAAAAUGUGCAAUUAAUCAAAAACAUAAUUAUCGAGGAAUCUGAAGAAAAUAGAAAACAACAUUGUAGAGAUAAGCCGGCUACCUGAAUUUGUUCCAGAUGAAAAAGUUGAGCUUCUUGGAUGGCAUAAGCUCCUUCAUCCAAGUAGUCCGGCUUUUGAACGAGGAAAAUAACAAUAGGGCAGGUAAUUAGAUCAGAAACAGUUCGGAUGUCAAAAGAAGAUCAAAAUUCAGAUUCACAAUAUAAAAAACGAAAUAACAAACUUAGGACCUGAAAAAAUAUAACCCCUUACAGCCUCACACACACAGAGCACCACCUUCAAUCUAAAAUCCAAUUCCAAAACACAUGCAGAACAACAAACCAAACAGUUAAAGUAAAAAGGAAGCGAAAUACUUAUCAAAGUUGAGGAAACAUUCGAGUGACUACAAUACUCAAACUCGUACUCCAUCAGUCAAACUUGUACUCAUUCUUCAGGUCAUCUCUUUACCUCAGGAUAAUCCACAAAACAUAUGCUUGAAUUAAUUUUGGUUUAAAGAAAGGAUUGCUGAUCUAAAAGUGAAAAUAAAAUUCAGUGUGAAAGACGAAUUCCUUACCAGAUUUAUAGGAUCUAAACGCGAUUGUCUUUCCACUAAGCUCCAGAGCUGCACAUUAAUCACCAAAAAGAAUUUUAAGCACAUUUAACAGCAAACUCUAAUAGGUUUUUUAACCUUUACAAUACUAAAAACAAAAGUAAAGAAGCAAUUGUCACCUUUCAAGCAGCAUUGCCCAGUACAAAAGAAAGGAAUAAAUUGCAAAACUGAUACAGCAAUAAUGAACUUGAAGAGCAUGACCAAGUUGAAAAAUCCAUGUUGAUAAUAAGUAUCAUUGCAGUAGGCAGCUAUUCAUAUAUUCAAGUGCAUCAAUCAUAUUGCAUCAAAUAAAGUAUUCCAAGCAACCAAUUUUAAUUAAAAUCCUUAUCAGACUGCGCUAAACAUAUAAUGAAAUCAGAAAUUACUCACAGCAUUGCAAGACUGAGGCAAUAGAUCAGUGACACCAAUUCCCCUGAUAUAUUGUUGUGCUCUAACCUCCUGCAAUAAUUUUCAUCAGUGGCAACAAUAUCAAAACGAAAACGUCAAGUCUCAGUACCUAAAUAUCCUAAACUUUGGACCACAAUUGACAUGGGCAGUUACAGUGAGAACAAAAAAUUUCACAGUUGGGAUAAAAUCAAGCUACCCAUAUAGAUGCAACAGCAUCUAUAUCAAACCUAAAACUCACUUUCCAAGCUUCACUUUUCAUAUCUAGUCGGUCCCAAUCCAAUUUAAGACCAGCUCUUUAUAUUCACAAACUUUCCAAAACAAACACCCAAUUUAUAACCAAUGCACAUUGCACUAUCAACGCCAUAUAUAAUCUGAACCCACAAAACCCACCAAAAAUUGAAAACACUUGCUUUGAAAGGAAUACACCUUAUAAACCCCAAUGUAAGUCUAAUUAAACACUUGCUUUGAAAGAAAACAUAUCAAUAAUUAUACCUGUGUAACCCGAAAACCCAGAAUUACCUUCCCUAUUCUUGCUGAUGAUACGCUGUAAAUUUCGUCAAGAUCAGAAAGAGAUCAAAAUAGAUUAGAAACAGUUCAAAUUUCAAAAAGAGAGCAAAGUAGAUCGAAAUUCAGAUUCACAAUUUAAAAAACGAGAUAAAAAAACUUAGGAGAAGUAAUCAUGGAAAAAUAUAACCCCCUUAUAGCCUCACACACAGAGCACCACCUUCAAUCUAAGAUCCAAUUCCAAAACACAUGCAGAAGAACAAACCAAAUACAUAUCAAAGUUAAGGAAACAUUCGAGUGAACCCAACGGUUCUCAAGUAAAAGUGGUGCACAAUUCCUAAAUGUCACACUUUCCUUGGCAUGACUUUAAUACAGAUACAGAGAAGUCAUGAAAAGAUUAAAGCUCUUCCCUUUUUUCUAUAUAUUGUUCGGUAACAUUGAUAAGUACUAUCAAAAUCGGGUUUACAGAUUGGGGCUUGGGGAAACAAAUUCAAACAAAUAGGAACUCCUCAAUAAGUUUGAAGCACAAUUCUCAAGCACGGAAACCAAUCUUCGUGCUUGGUUUUAUCUAACGGAUCAGAUAAAAACUGUAAAUAAACAUGAAAUGAGAGCCAAAAACCCAAACUAAGUGUAAACUUCAAAAAUUCAUUUCUCACCUGAAAUUGAACAAACAGGAGAAGCUUGACAAUCACAACUACCGAAAUCCUCUUUCUCUCUGUCACAAAAAAGCAGUCAAUCCAAAAUUCGAUACCCAUAUCUCAAAUUGCCAAUAAAUCGAAAACACAGAACCAAAUUUCAAAUUUACCAUGAAAAAAGAAAACCAUAUGAUAACCCAAAACCAAAACUGAAAUCAAACAAAGAAUUACCCAGACUGCUAUGCCAAUCGACCGGACAAGAACAACAGAAAAAGCAUUAAACUUUAAUAAGAGGAUGGUGAAAAACAGGAAAGGAGAUCAAAGCAAUUGAACUAGUAAUUACAUUCAUCAUCUUUAGUUUCCAGCCAGGUCCAGUUAUCUCUGCAAAUUUGUAUUUUGGUGGCACUCAAAACCAAAAAGAAGAAAGAAACAAAAAUCAUAUUGAUACUCAGAUUAAGCAAACAUGAAAAUUAAAUCAAGCAGAAGAAAGCAAAGUUUUCUUUCUUUGAAGCCACUAUAUAAUCGAUAAAGUUUUCUUUAUUUGAGUACAUUCCAUCUAAAGUUUGUAACUCUACCUGAAAAACUGCUUAAAAAUGAAACUCAAAUCAGCAAAAGCUAUAUAUUGGAAUUCGGUGCAAUCCAUCAUUGAGGUGCUUGACUGCAGAGCAGACAAACGCCGAAUCAGCACAAAUGAGGUAAUGGGAACGGUUAUCCUUCUUAAAAUGAUAAGCUCAAUCUCAAACAGUAUAAAAAACCACACAAACACGGAAUGAAAAAAUUUGAAAAUUCAAAAGCACUAAACUUAUCUAUUCGAUCUGAGCAGAGGAUUGGGAACUUGCCAAAUAUAUAGUCCCACGAAUCCAUCUUGGGGAAAUUAUAUUGCACUCUUUGCAUUCAAACACCAAAUUCUUGCCACAAAAAAAAUUCAAAUGAAAACACAAUAAAAAUUCAAAUGCAAACGCAAACGCAAAAGCCAAUAAAGUCAAGCAUAACAACGUCAAGAAUAUACCUGAGAAACUAACAAAUUGGAUCCCGCCCAAAAUCAACCAAACUCAACCAGGCAUGUUAACAAAUCCUCCAUAGAUUUUCACUCAAAGAUAUCUCAUCAGCUCUACACCGAAAAUGGAAAAAAAAAAAUAAUGGAUAGAACCAAAAGAAAAGGAUAAGAAAUACUGAGACAUUAAAACUGCUCAAAAUAUGGACAAAUAAGAACAAAAUGGUCUUCAAGGGUGGGAUAUUUUUUUUUACCAAGAUCAAAGGCCAAAGCGGCUUGAACUCUAUUUGAAUCACAUAACACAGUUAUGGGAACAAAUUAAACCCUGGACAAAGAGCAAUAUUAGAAUCUCGAAACAGAUCCGAAAAUAAAAAGCAUACAAAACAUGCACAAACCCAAAUACUAUUCUCUCUUUCCAUACCCAAAUACUAUUCUCUCUCACUUUAUCAAUGCUGGUCUCGCUUUGAAUUUUCUGCUAGUCUCAUCGACUCACGUUAUUGCUCGUUACAAAUCAUAUUCAGAUUAUAGAAAUAACCCAAUAGCACAAAGUGGAGAACUGUAAAGUACUCACCAGAGCUUGCAGCAGUUGUUGUGGGAUAUCAAUAACUAACCUGGAAAAUAUGCAUACAUGAUUUUCAAUGGGAACUGUGGCCAUAUGCAUAAAAUAUUUGAGCAGAAACUAUCUGAAUGGCAUUUCAUGUCAUCUGACCGUCAAUCUAGACCGUUAAAAAAAUGAGGUCUAAAUAGGGUCGAAAACAAAACAUACCGGAUAAUAAAAUGAGUGAUAAUUAAGAGAAAGGUUUACUUACUUUUUGCCUAAAAAUUUGCCCAUCCGAGGCUCCCAUCUCCCACACUUAUGCAAUGGCACUCCUCUAUAUUUUGAGCCGCCUCUAGGGAACCGGUACUUUGUGGGCAAAGUACAUGCACACAUUCCUCCUUUGUUAAAUUGCUCAUCCGUUCAGCAACAUAUUACAAAAGAAUAUAAUCAAUCUUCCCCAUAUCCAUAAAAUGACGAAAUAAAUAAAUAAAUAAUUGAAUAGCUGGUUUUACUGUUGAAGAUAAGUUAUAAAACUGUUCAUGAUAAGUUAUAAAACUUCAUUACCAAUAUGACAGAAAACAAAAACAUGAAUUUUCAAAACCUCGAUCCAAGGCUAUACUAACAAAGGCGCAUGUGUCACUAUAAGAAACACAUGCAAAAAAACCCUCAUUUAGUAAAAGAAACCUGCAUGGAAAAAGCUUGUGCAAGUUCAAGUUGUGGUAUAUCUAGUAUUUGUGUCAACUUAUUAAACUUGACCAUUACACGAAAUGUAUCUCUUAUUUUUAAAUGAAGAGCUUGUGUGUUGGGCUAACGCAUUGGUAUUAAAAGUAUCUCUGUUAAACUUGACCAUUACACCAAAUGUAUCCCCAAUUUAACAACAAAUGUAUCUCUUAUUUGCACAACGCAGUUCAAGAGAUUGACAAAUUGACCAAUGCGUUGGUUGAUUUGGUAAAAGAGUAGGUACACCAGAUUUGACAAAAUAUAAUUUCAGCGCAGAAAGAAAGAAAUACAGUUUUCUUUAUGUGAGUAUAUUGCAUGUAAACUGUAACCUGAUAAACUGCUGAAAAAUGAAAAUCAAAUCAGCAAGCUAUAUACUGGAAUUCGGUGCAAUCGAUCAUUGAGGUCCUAGCUACAGAACAGACAAACACCGAAUCAGCUCAAAUCAGGUAAUGGGAACGGUUAUCCUUCUUGAUGAUAAGCUCAAUCUCAAACAGUAUAAAACCACACAAAAACGGAAUGAAAAAUUUUGAAAAUUCAAAAGCACUCCACUUAUCUAUUCGAUCUGAGCAGAGGAUUGGGAACUUUCCCAAAUCUAUAGUCCCACGAAUCCAUCUUGGGGAAAAUUUAUCAUAUACACAAUAUUCAUGCUCCUCCUCCUCACAUCAAAAACCCAAUAUCACAACCCUAAACUCCCGCACCAUAGAACCCCAAAUCAGUCAUACAAACCUGAAGUCUUAUUUCGACAAAAAAAAAAAAAUGCAGAAUGAAAAAAUAAAAGCGAAAUUGAAGCCCUCCCCUUCAUCAAUUUGAAGAUGAAUAAAUACCUUUAUAAGGAGGCCACAUAUUUUUCUAUUGUUACAGCGUUUAUGAAGCAUAUUUUUCUAUUGUUACAGAGUUCAUGAGGCAUCUUCAUAAUUAGACGCUGGAAAACUUGUGCCUAUGUUUCCAGUACUUAAGUGCUGCUGAAUAAGAUGCUGCUGCUGCAAAUUCUUGGUCAUCAAAAGUGCCUGCAUAUACAUCAGAUCAAAUUAAUGUGCUGUUAAAAUUUACCGAGUAACCAACAAAUCUCAUAUUGGGUUGAAAAAAAAAUGCUAAAACAUAAUGAUAACUACUUGUUCUCUAUCCCAAAACUGACCCUGUAAACACUCCCAACUCCUCAAUUCCCUAAAUUUGCCGUCAUAAUUGAAGUUGUUUGUUGCUGUAAGUUCCCUCAAGGUAAAGAGCAUCCACGUCGGCUGCUUUUCUUUUUUUCCUUGUUUUUACCUAUACAACAAAUUACAAUCAUCAAAGCAUGCGGUUACUAAUAUUUUAUGACGAUCAAUUUGAAACUAUGUAUAACCUUCUAUUCUACAUAUCAAACAUCAAAGGCAUCGAAAGGUCAUACCUUCAUAUUCCAACGAAAACUAUUCCAUAGGUCUCCAGCCUUCUUCCAUUAAUUAACAAUACAUGUAUCUAAAGCCAAAGAAAAAUUGUUAGGACAAAAAAGAAAAUACAAAGAGAAACCAUAGAACUUUGGUUAUCUUAUUUUGAUCCUGUUGUAUUAUGAGACUUAUAAAUAACCUUAACAUUUUCUGACCAUAAUAGACCCAUCAAUAUAAUAGAACAGCUCUGAGUAAACACAAAAGGUUCCCAAAAAUACCUUUCAGUAGACCUAAUAAGGUCUCCACUCAAUUUUUCUUUAAAUUGAAUAAAAUAAAAUAGACCUCUUCCACCAUUCACAUUGCUGACAUUACCCUCCCAUCUACACACCAGAAAUGCAUACUUCAAAACUGAACUGAAUAAUUUCCAACAAUGACUAGGACACAAUUGCUUUCAACGGAACUCACAAUUAAUACAACUUCUCUAAUAAAAGUAAGUUCAUUUCAGUACCGCUAUUUUUCCCCAAUUUGUAAAUUUUGUUCUCAGGUCUGAUCUUAACUCCUUUCCUAAUUUAAUUCCAGGGAAAUAUAUGUAUCUAAAGCCUUACGACUGGUAAAUGUUCAAGUUCAUGGUUUAUGUAAUACACAUACAUAAAAAGAAGUUGCGCUCUUACGGCUGGUAUUUGUAGUAUUCCUCCUCCAUUCUGUGUGGCAUUAGCAGUACUUGGAGCACACAGUGUACCACAUGUAGUACAUGAGACAAACAUUUGCCCUGCUAUAAACACAUUAUAAGAGAACACAUUAGUUGGACCAAGUAAGGGUAGAAGAGAUUCAUAAAAAUCAGUAAUGCAUAGAGUGCAAGAUAUAAAUGAGUAUAUUAGUCUCUCUUUCUUUUGGUCUUCCUUAAAGGAAAAUAAAUCUUCAGUUCCAUUAUAUUUCAUGAUAUGGCAAAAUACAAAUCAGGGCAGUGCAGAAAUAAAUAUCUAUCAAAUCCUACUAACCAAAUUUUGAACCUUUGACUUAGUUCCCUCACACUGGUAAUCUGAUAUAGACCCUAAACAUAAUAGAAGUCAUUAUUUCUUUUCUUUUCUACAACUUCUGAAACUAUCACUUUGAUUAACUGAGCAUAACAACUUGGUAAACCAAACGACAAAUAGGUCAUCACCUACCUUGUGCAUAAGUUGGACCAAUUUGAUAAUUAACAAAGGAUAGUAAUUUUAAAUUAUGGAAUUUGGCGUAUUUCUGCUUGUGAUAGCUCCAAUGUUUCAAGCAACCACAAAUAUACUUGAGCUUGUUAAUAGACAGCAGCCCAUUCACAUUGAUCCCAGAAACUAGGAAANNNNNNNNNNNNNNNNNNNNAUCCGCCAAACAAGGCAUAUCUUUGACAGUUCCACUACUGCUUCUGCGUGUUUACCUUGCAUCACUAAAGCUUGCAAUCAACAAGAAUAAAACAUUAAGUGCCAAAAAUUCACAGUUAUGUUUCCAACUGUACUCCAUGGUUUUUGGAGUACAUAAUUGAAUAUAAUUUUCUAAAUUGAUUUUUAGAGUUCUAGACCACUGACAUUGACUAACCCAACUCAGCCGUAUGACUACAAUUAGUGAUAGCCAACAUGAAAGGAACAAUCAAAUCUGAAAAACUGAAAACUCCAAAUACAAUAAACUUACCGUCUACGAAUCUGAUCCAGCCCUUCAGCCACAAAAUUUCUAGGGAAGUUUUUCACAAAAAGUUCAACAUUCUCAAAAGGAUAGUGGAUUUAAGCACAAGGCAUGGAACCACUCAUGAACCAUUGUUCAAAGGCAUGAAAAGAUAAUUAAACAAGUCAAACAUCUAUAUCAUUAGGCAGACAUCAGUGGUUGAGAAAAUUGGUUCACUACAGAAUACUCUUUAUAAAACAUGAAAAACCAUGAAUUCAUAAUUGGCGAUAUAUUGAAACUACUCCCCCACUUUAUAAAGCAGGAAAAACCAUGAAUGGAUGAUAAGCCAAUUAAGUAUGGUAACGCAGUAAAACACACCAUUUAAACCAUAAAGCUGAGCCACAAAGAAACAAUAACAUUGUAGGCCAAGUUGAAAGAAACGACGAUACAUUUUAGAAUAGCUGCAAGGAGAAUAAGCAAGCCUGAAUCUAAAACUACAUAAAAACCAAAAUGUGCAAUUAAUCAAAAACAUAAUUAUCGAGGAAUCUGAAGAAAAUAGACAACAACAUUGUAGAGAUAAGCCGGCUACCUGAAUUUGUUCCAGAUGAAAAAGUUGAGCUUCUUGGAUGGCGUAAGCUCCUUCAUCCAAGUAGUCCGGCUUUUGAACGAGGAAAAUAACAAUAGGGCAGGUAAUUAGAUCAGAAACAGUUCGGAUGUCAAAAGAAGAUCAAAAUUCAGAUUCACAAUUUAAAAAACGAAACAACAAACUUAGGAGAAGUAAGCACACCUGAAAAAAUAUAACCCCCUUACAGCCUCACACACACACAGCACCACCUUCAAUCUAAAAUCCAAUUCCAAAACACAUGCAGAACAACAAACCAAACAGUUAAAGUAAAAAGGAAGUGAAAUACUUAUCAAAGUUAAGGAAACAUUCGAGUGACUACAAUACUCAAACUCGUACUCCAUCAGUCAAACUUGUACUCAUUCUUCAGUUCAUCUCUUUACCUUAGAAUAAUCCACAAAACACAAAACAGAUGCUUGAAUUAAUUUUGGUUUAAAGAAAGGAUUGCUGAUCUAAAAGUGAAUAAAAUUCAGUGUGAAAGACGAAUUCCUUACCAGAUUUAUAGGAUCUAAACGCGAUUGUCUUUUCACUAAACUCCAGAGCUGCACAUUAAUCACCAAAAAGAAUUUUAAGCACAUUUAACAGCAAACUCUAAUAGGUUUUUUAACCUUUACAAUACUAAAAACAAAAGUAAAGAAGCAAUCGUCACCUUUCCAGCAGCAUUGCCCAGUACAAAUGAAAGGAAUAAAUUGCAAAACUGAUACAGUAAUAAUGAACUUGCAGAGCAUGACCAAGUUGAAAAAUCCAUGUUGAUAAUAAGUAUCAUUCAAGUAGGCAGCUAUUCAUAUAUUCAAGUGCAUCAAUCAUAUUGCAUCAAAUAAAGUAUUCCAAGCAACCAAUUUUAAUUAAAAUCCUUAUCAGACUGCGCUAAACAUAUAAUGAAAUCAGAAAUUACUCACAGCAUUGCAAGACUGAGGCAAUAGAUCAGUGACACCAAUUCCCCUGAUAUAUUGUUGUGCUCUAACCUCCUGCAAUAAUUUUCAUCAGUGGCAACAAUAUCAAAACGAAAACGUCAAGUCUCAGUACCUAAAUAUCCUAAACUUUGGACCACAAUUGACAUGGGCAGUUACAGUGAGAACAAAAAAAUUUCACAGUUGGGAUAAAAUCAAGCUAUCCAUAUAGAUGCAACAGCAUCUAUAUCAAACCUAAAACUCACUUUCCAAGCUUCACUUUUCAUAUCUAGUCCGUCCCAAUCCAAUUUAAGACCAGCUCUUUAUAUUCACAAACUUUCCAAAACAAACACCCAAUUUAUAACCAAUGCACAUUGCACUAUCAACGCCAUAUAUAAUCUGAACCUACAAAAACCCACCAAAAAUUGAAAAGCAGCAUGCUUUAGUACAAUAACGAUUGGAUCGAAUACACCUUAUAAACCCCAAUUGGAUCAAAUUUGUAUUCUGGUGGCACUCAAAACCAAAAAGAAGAAAGAAAGAAACAAAAAUCAUAUUGAUACUCAGAUUAAGCAAACAUGAAAAUUAAAUCAAGCAAAAGAAAGCAAAGUUUUCUUUCUUUGAAGCCACUAUAAUCGAUACAGUUUUUCUUUAUUUGAGUUCCAUGUAAAGUUUGUAACUCUACCUGAAAAACUGCUAAAAAAUGAAACUCAAAUCAGCAAGCUAUAUACUGGAAUUCGGUGCAAUCCAUCAUUGAGGUGCUAGACUGCAGAACAGACAAAUGCCGAAUCAGCUCAAAUGAGGUAAUGGGAACCGGUUAUCCUUCUUGAAAUGAUAAGCUCAAUCUCAAACAGUAUAAAAAACCACACAAAAACGGAAUGAAAAAAUUUAGAAAAUUCAAAAGACACUAAACUUAUCUAUUCGAUCUGAGAAGAGGAUUGGGAACUUCCCAAAUAUAUAGUCCCACGAAUCCACCUUGGGGAAAUUUAUAUUGCACUCUUUGCAUUCAAACACCAAAUUUCAUGCCACCAAAAAAAUUACAAAUGCAAACGCAAAAAACCAAUAAAGUACAAGCAUAACAAUGUCAAGAAUAUACCUNNNNNNNNNNNNNNNNNNNNCCUCCUCCAUUCUGUGUGGCAUUAGCAGUACUUGGAGCACACAGUGUACCACAUGUAGUACAUGAGACAAACAUUUUGCCCUGCUAUAAACACAUUAUAAGAGAACACAUUAGUUGGACCAAGUAAGGGUAGAAGAGAUUCAUAAAAAUCAGUAAUGCAUAGAGUGCAAGAUAUAAAUGAGUAUAUUAGUCUCUCUUUCUUUUGGUCUUCCUUAAAGGAAAAUAAAUCUUCAGUUCCAUUAUAUUUCAUGAUAUGGCAAAAUACAAAUCAGGGCAGUGCAGAAAUAAAUAUCUAUCAAAUCCUACUAACCAAAUUUUGAACCUUUGACUGACUUCCCUCACACUGGUAAUCUGAUAUAGACCCUAAACAUAUUAGAAGUCAUUAUUUCUUUUCUUUUCUACAACUUCUGAAACUAUCACUUUGAUUAACUGAGCAUAACAACUUGGUAAACCAAAAGACAAAUAGGUCAUGACCUACCUGGUGCAUAAGCAUAUAUAAAUGUAGCUUGCUUUAGCCUAAGUUGGACCAAUUUGAUAAUUAACAAAGGAUAGUAAUUUUAAAUUAUGGAAUUUGGCGUAUUUCUGCUUGUGAUAGCUCCAAUGUUUCAAGCAACCACAAAUAUACUUGAGCUUGUUAAUAGACAGCAGCCCAUUCACACUGAUUAUUAGGUCGACCCAGAAACUAGGAAAGCAAAAAAGAAAAAAAGAAAGAAAAGAAAAAAAAAGAGUGACUAUAAAUUCCAUGAAAGCGCAUCUAACAAAAAGAAAAAUAUGGAAAAUCAUGAAAUCGGCUUAAUGAAUUUUUAAACUCUUUGUCACGCAGUAGCUUUGCUAAGUAGCUCUUUCAACCUCUUGCAAUUCCUUCAUUUAGAUUUGCUGGAUUUAGUAGCUCUUUCAACCUCUUCUUUGCUCUUUUUUUUUUUAUUGUGUAAACUGUGAUCCCAAGUGUCUUGGACAAAUCAAUCUGCAUAAUUCUGUGAAAGAUUAUAUAGUGAGAAUGAUGAAGUGGCUGAAGAAAAGUAUGUGGAAGAUGCAGGGUCAUUUAUCAUUCUUGCAGUUUUAACGUAUGUCAUACUGAGGAAAUCUUAUAAUGAUUUCCACAUCAGUUAGUUGCAAGAGGUUGGCCCUCUACAUCAGUCUUAUUUGUCUGAGAGUCGAAAUUAAACAAACGCGGCGCAGAUUGCAGUCUAGUAAAGCCUAGGGGUGACGAAGGCGCAGAAGCAAUCAAAUAGACAAGGAAAAAAAAAACAAGACAGAAGAAGGUUUGAGAUGAAAAGGUUGACCUUCUUGGAUGGCGUAAGCUCCUUAAUCCAAGUAGUCUGGCUUUCUAUCGAAGAAAGAGUUGACAACAAACAUCUUUGGAAGGAAAAUGAAUGCCUUUCUGUAGAAAAAGCUUGGGCUUUUCUAAAUCUCAGACACCGCUCACAAAACCUAUACAAUGAAAUAACAGUAGACAUGUGAGUUGAUCUUAUCAUGAUUGCUCAUAAAACCCCAUAUACAUAUAUAUAAACCAAUGUCAAUUUUGCAUUCCUUUUUUUUUUUUGGUAAGAAUGAGGCCAAAGGGGCCCGGAACAAAGAAACUACAACAAGAAACUAACCAGUACUACUGGUUCUAAAACUUCUACACCUAGCAACUCCCACAAUAUCAUCAAGGAGAGCUUCAGUAACAAUAGCAGGGGGCUCAUAGAGAUAACAGAUGCCUUGAGCAUUGAGAGUACUGUUCUUGGCCAGCAAAUCAGCAACCAUAUUCCGCUCACGGUGAACAUGCUUAACAUGGACUGAGGCAAAAUGUUGAAGCAUAGACCUGCAAUUUGUCCAAUGGUGCCCAGAGGGUGAUACUCACUAUCAUAAUUCUGCAGAAGAUUGAUGAGAACAGCAGAACCUGACUCCACUUCCAAAUUGGAAAUUUGCAUGUCUAAAGUCAAUUGAAUGCCAUAAAAAGACCCCAGGCCUCAGCUUGGAGCACGUCUCCAGAACCAAUGUUAAUCAUAAAGCCAUUCUUCCAACAACCACUUCCAUUUGUAACACCUCCAGCACCAAUGUCCCCAUUUCUUGAUCUUGAACCAUCCACAUUUAGCUUGUAAAACCCAUCAGCAGGCUUAAUCCAAGAGAGGUUUUUAACAUGUUUCAGCAGCUGCAUAUUAGGCUUAGCCAUAGCCUUAGUCCAAUCAGUAGCAUAACCGAGGAUGAUAUCAGCAGGAUUACAAGGAUAUUGGUACCUAUCAUCAAAAAUACUUUUGCACCUCCAUUUCCAUAUAAACCAGCAGCAGAAAACAAAGAAAACAUUCCAACUUAAAUUGUGAAUGUGAUAGCCAUUUUGCAUAAGAUUAGCAAAAAGCCAUCCAUCCCAAUCUAAAGUAAAGGUGGCCAACAUGUUUGUAGGAAUAUUAAAAGAGCUCCAGAUCAGCCUUGCCUUGGGACAAUCCCGAAAAAGAUGAAGCAUGGUUUCAGGAAUACCAACACAAUGCUUACAAGAAGAAUUACCAGUCAAUUCUAUGAGAUCUCUGCACAUUAGUUAAUAACUUACUCGAACAAACGUCCAUAGGAAAAUUUUCAGCUUUGGAGGGAUAUGCAUAGACCAAUUCUUCAUCCAUACAUACUUCUGGUAACCAGACUCAUCACAGAUUAGCUGAUAGGCAGAUUUAACAGAAAAGAUCCCAGAGGAAGUUUUUCCCCAAAUAAUCUUGUCCAGCAAAUCACCAAACAGCAAUAGGAAUAGUAGUAAUAACAUGCACCACAUCAGUAGGUAACUGAACCAUUAACAUAUCCACAUUCCACAUUCUUCCGAUCCAAAAAUCUUUCACAACAGCAUGUAAAUCAAUAACAUCAUGAUUCAAAGCAAGAUUUUUCAAUAUACCACAUGGGGACCAUUUAUCAGUCCAGAACUUAAUAGUGCAUCCAUUCACCAAGUCUGCACCAAACACAAUACCAGACCAUGUACUGGAGCACUUUGUUGGCUUCUUAUAGUUUUCCUGUAAAAUAGAAUCAGAAUGGAGGUAUUUUCUCUGGUAAAUUUCAUUCCAUAAACCCUUAUCAUUUUGUAUCAUUCUCCAACUAGCCUUUGCAAGCAUUGCCUUGUUCAUGUCAGUCGAUUUUUUAAUUCCUAGGCCACCAAAACAUUUUGGCCUACAAACCAUAUCCCAAUUAGUUAAGUGGACUUUCCUCUGUUGAUCAGUAUCACCCCACAAGAAAUUUCUAUUCAGUCUAUCCAAACUAUCACAAAUACUAAUGGGGAGUUUAGCAGUUUGCAUAGCAUAGACAGGGAUUGAAGAGGCCACAGAUUGGAUUAGAGUAAGUCUACCUGCCAUAUUCAAAGUUUUACUCUUCCAACUAGCAAGUCUAGAUUGCACCUUAUCCACCAAGUUGGCAUAAGCGGAAGCAGAAACUCUAGAGUGAAUAAGAGGCAUUCCAAGGUGUAUCCAAGGUCUGCAGUCAGGGGAGAGCCACAAAUUCUGCUGAUAUUUUGGCAAGAGAGGAUCUUACAUUUGGAGAGCAAUAAACCCAUGCAGACUGACCUGAGAGACUGCAAAAUAAGUUCAUAACCCCCUUCAUCACAGUAGCUUGAGUAGAACUAGCUUCAGAGAAAAGGAUCCAAUCAUCCGCAAAGAAAAGAUGAGAGCUACGAGGACCAGAAUGAGAAGAUUGAAUGGGUUUCCAAUGCCCCAUUUCAACAGCAUUCUGAAUAGAGUGGGAUAACUUUUCCAUGCAAAGAACAAAGCGGUAAGGAGAUAAAGGAUCUCCUUGCCUGAUACCUCUACUACCACUAAAAGAGUUAGAUAGCUCCCCAUUCACAAUGAUUUGGUAACUAGCAGUAGAGACACAACUCAUGAUUAUUUUCACAAAAUUUGUAGGAAGCUUUACCUCAUUCAAAACUUGCUCAAUCAAGUUCCAAUUAAGCUUAUCAUAAGCUUUUGAUAGGUCAACCUACCAGGCCACAAAACCUUUCACACCCUUGGAGUUUUUACACUUAUGCAAAAGUUCUUGAGCAAUCAUAAUGUUAUCAGAGAUAUGCCUACCAGGGACAAAGCUUACCUGAUUAGGACUAAUCCAUUUUCUAAGCAAGGGUCUCACUCUAUCCACAAAUAUCUUAGAGAUGAUCUUGUAAACAGUACAACAUAAGCUAAUAGGUCUAAAGAACUGCAUGUCCUGAGGAGAAGGGAACUUAGGAACAAGAGUGAUUAAAGUAUGAUUCAAACUAGGAGGAACAGAACCAGAAGAGAAAGCCUGAGUAACAACACUAAUUAUCUCAGCUGCACAUAAGUUCCAGUGUUGUUGAAAAAAGAGAGCAGGAAAACCAUCAACACCUGGAGCUUUAAAUUUACCAAUUCUAAAUAAAGCACUGUGAAUAUCAUGCUCAGUGAUAGGUCUGUUCAUUCCAGUAUCAGGGAUUUCAGGGAACAAAGAAGGAAUAAUCACCCUUAAAUCUUCAACAGGCUCAGCAGUAAAAAGUUUCCGAAAGAAAUCCACAGCAAUUUGUUGUAUUCCAGUCAUAUCAGUUGUCCAGACACCACUAGCAUCGUAAAGACCAUCUAUUUUAUUUCUUCUUCUCCUAACAAUAGUAGUUAGAUGAAAGAAUUUAGUAUUCCUGUCACCCUCUCUGAGCCAUUUAUCCCUUGAUUUUUGUUUCCAGAAGAUAGCCUCAGCAUCUCUAAUCUUUUCAUAAUCAGCAAUAAGCUUCUUCUCAAGAUCCUAAAGAAACAGGUUAUGCCCUCUUCCUAAGCAUUUCUGAAUACCACAAAUUCUUGCGUUAAGAAUUCUUUUCUGCUUAAAAAUAUUCCCAAAAACAUUUUUGUUCCAAUCACCAUGUCAAAGUAAUUCUCAUGGUUCAGCCACAUAGCUUGAAAUCUGAAUGGAGAAUUCUUUCUGGACCCUCUAAUACUAGGAAAAAAGUUUAAUCAAGAUGGGGCAAUGGUCAGAUUUCAUUCUAGCUAGGUGAAUCAGACACGCAUCAGGAACAAAAUCCUCCAAUCACUAUUGCAAAAGCUUCUAUCUAACCUCUCCUUAACAGCAUUGUUUGACCAAGUAUAAUCAGCACCUUGGUAUCCUAAGUCCACCAAACCAUUUCUAGAGACCCGAUCUCUCAUUCCUCCAAAUCUAUAAUGGUUAGAACCACCAAUUUUAUCAGCAUAAGAAAGUAACUCAUUGAAAUCACCCAAUAAAACCCAAGGAAGGACAAAUUUCUGAGAAAUAGAGUCAAAAUAACUCCACAAGCUGCUCCUAGAAGUAUUACAAGGGCUGGCAUACACACCAGUUAAAAGCCAAGGAGAGGAACCAAUCCAAGAAACUUUAACAGAAAUAGACUGAAAGUUUGAAUCCAUAAUAUCAAUAUCCACUUUGUUUUUAUUCCAUAGAAGCCAUAUUCCUCCAGAAAAACCAUUGGCUUCUCUCACAACAAAAUCAGUAAAACCAAGAGAGAGAAGGAAUUUUUUAGCACCUUCAAACUGAAUUCUAGGUUCACAGAUAAAUAAAAUGUCAACAUUGUUCAUCUUAACCAGGUCUUGGAUAGAAGACCUAAAUUUGUCACUACCAGCACCUCUAGAAUUCCAAAAAAGGAUGCGAUCCAUUAAUUCAAGAGGAAAGGGUAGGACAAGGUCCAAAUUAAGCAUUGACCAUCUCCUCCUCAAGAGAGGAAGAAAGGUUUUCAUCCACUGUCAAAUUACUAUUAUCAGUAAAGACUUUCUCAACAAAACAAGAGGAAUCCUGAUCAGGAUGUAAGGAAGUAUUACUCUCAACCAUAUGGUCAUCAGGGGGGCAAUGACCAAAAAUACCAGAAACUCUAGAGCUAAACACAUUAUCAGCAUUCUCAAGAGAAAGCUUUUCAGAAAUAGAAGAUUGGUGUUUAGCAGAGGGAAGGGUAGAAACUUUCACUUUUCUCUGAUACUUCAUAGCAGGCUUGGCAACAAUACCAGAAUGAACAUUUGACAGGUCAACCAAAGGCACUCUAGAAGUAGAAUUAUCAUUACCAGGAAAAGAAUUUUUUCCAGAAGAAGCAUUCAUAGUAGAGGGUUUAGACAUACCAGUAGCUGAGGGAGUAGCUUUAGAAGUAGAUGGAGCUUGCAUUUUCUUCUGCUUGUCUUUGAAGCUGGUCCAAAGUUUAACAAUAGGAGAAGCUGGAGGGUUUUUUGAAGAGUCAGCAAUGGUUCCAGGUUCAUUAGUAGCAUUGGCAAUUUCAUCGUGAAGGACAGAAAAUCUUGAGCCCUUGAUAGGACUUUUCACAGUACCUCCAUGCUUAGAGGCUUUCUUCGUAUUUCUGUAGUUCAUAAGCAUCCAGGUGCCCAUAUCGUCCUUAAUUACUGAGGGUGUCUCAUUGCGAGCCUCCAUCUCAUUAGUCAUCUCAACAUUUCCAGCAGAAUUAGAAGUAGCAGAAGAGCAAUUAGGGUCACCUGAGGAAGGAUUCACAGCAGGAGAGACAAUAAUAGAAGGACACUUAUCUUUGGAGUGACCAAAGCAACCACACUCAAAGCCAAUAAGUGCCUUCAUAAAUGACACUGUAGGCAACUGACUCCACUUCCACAAAAGGCUUAAGAGGUUUACCUAAAUCCACUUCAACACAGACUCUCGCAAACUUGCCAAUAGCUUGGCCUAAAGUGAUUGGAUCAACCUUAACAACAUCACCUAGGAUUUUGCCUAUUUUCUCAAUAGCAUAGGGUAUAAAAAAUUUAACAGGUAAACCACAUAUUCGAAUCCACAAUGCCAUUUUGCCAAUAACAUCAGUUUCAGGAUUAAAAUCUGAGCUCCAUUUCCUAACAAUCAAGGUCUGACCAGCGAUAAUCCAAGGCCCUCCACAUAAAACCUCAUUCAUGUCAUCUUCUAGAUUAAACUUGACAAUGAAAUAAUCAUUAGGCAAGUCCACAAGUUGCCAACCUCCUUUAGUCUGCCAUUUGCGUCUUAGACUCUUAAGAAUGAAAUCGAAAGUAUUUGUAGAGUUAGGCUUACCCAUAAGCUUGAUGAUGACAGAGCAGCGCCAUCCAAAAUCCAGUUUGUUAUGGACCUUCUCAGAGAAGCAAUCAUUCAAACCAUGCUUGCCUUGAGGGUAGCUGCAAUCAGCAUCAGAGAAAUUGAAGUCCUCCAUCAUCGUUGUUUGAAAUCGGUCAAUAGGAUUCUUGAUCAUAGAUGCGUAGCUCAGAGAGGGUAGAGACUGAGGAGGUUGAACACAGGAAGAAUCCAAUUCCUCCAUACGUAGAUUUUCUAGAUCUGAAGAAAUAUCAUUUCCAGAUUUGGUACGUUUGCGCUGUAACAUUGAAGUAUCAGAAACUCCGCCGCUUCCGAGUGGAAGGGCGGAGAACGUGAAGACCGACGUCGCCACCACUUCAGAAAAGAAGACUAAGGAAUUCGCCGGAAAACGAAGGAAGAAUUAGGCCAAUCGAUGCAACCAGUAGGGUUCUCUCUCUUUCGCUGGGCUCUCUAGGUCACAUAUUAACUAAUGCGCGCAGGUAUGCUAUGCAUUAUUACUUUGCGUUCCUUUUAUAGUGUAUGAAGCUACCCUCGAUUUUUCAAUUCAAGAAAAUGCCAGAGUAAAACUAAGAAAGUAGAUCCUUACACUGGUUGACUGUAAAAGAAACCAAUCGAUUGAUAUAACUAAAAACACAGAUUGCUGCUUUCCAUAUUACAUGCACAGUAAUAUAAUUAGAAGCGCUGAAGUAAAAAGUAAUUUAACAUAUACCUUUUCGGAGUUGAUAUGCCAAGAAGGACCCAAAAGUUCACACCUGCAAAACAGAUGCACAUUGAGAUUUUAUCUAAAACAGAAAUUGAAAACAGACUGAAAAUAAAUGAAGCCUAAAACUGUCUUCACAACGACAAAAAAAUGAUCUAUUAUGCCCCUGACUUAACUGUUCAAAUCAUGAAAGUCGAUCUUGAAGAACUAUUUCAUGAAGCAUCAUCAAGAAAAUACACUUUCAUGUCCAAUUCUAAGGUGCAUUUCAAUUCAAUGACAUAACAAUGUGCUCUACUGUUGAUAGUAUGCCAUGUUGGAUCAAAUGGCCGGUUGAGAGGCCGCAGAGAACCUCAAGUUCUUCCAUUGAAAAUUGAAACUCUCACAAAAUGUAAUAUAGUGUUUUCAUUAUAUGCAACCACCUAGCAUUUAGUUAGAAAGGAACCCCAGUUUUUGAAGGACGGAAGGAGGCGAACAAACUAAGAAAAAAAGGGAUGUAAUUACCCUAACGUCUGCUUGUUUCUUAUGUUCACCAAUUGGAGCCUUAUGUUCCCAAUCCAUGGCACCAGAUUUCAGAUUCUUCUUAAGGACAUUUCAUUACACCAAACCAAAUACUCGAUUACGCAAAAUUUCACAAAAAACACACCUAUUGUACGACCAAGAUCUUCGACCUAUAUCUACCCACCCAAUCAUCAUCAGUUCAAAUUAUAUGACCAUCUCAGUCAUUCAAACAAAGAAUGACUAUGCCCUUUAAAUAGGAAAUACUAAAACAUCUAUAUAUAGUUUCCAAUAUAUAAAGCCAAUGCCAAACCUUAAUCGAAGCCUUGAGUCUCCUCUCAAAUAUAUCAUUAUUUCUAUGGCGAAGUAUCAUGGUGCUUUACAGAUAAUUAGUUUCAUUAUCGUGUAUGCAUGAUCAGAAUAAGGAACAUACAAAAAUCAAGAUUAACUGGUUAGUAAUUUUCGGUCAGCAUUUUACUGGGCCUACCUAUAUUCUCUUCCAAGCUCGCAUAAGUAAGCAAAAUCAUUAAAUGAAUUUUGUAGAGCUUCUUGAUAAUAUGCAAGGUUUAUACUUUCUGAAGGAAUUUGUAAUCUAAGAAUACUAACUAACUAUCAAGUAGGUGUUUAGGCAUUCAUUUGUAUAGUGGGCAGUAUAGUGAAAAUCAAUUUCUUUUUAAAUCUGCAAAUAGUAUACCUUCGCUCACAUUUCCAAAUAAUAUAUGAAAUGCAGGGCUCACAUUGUGCAUCUCACACAGAAGGCAUGUAAAUUGCAGUCUAUGAAUUGGAUAUACCUUUGAGGCAGACCACUUUUAAACACUUCUUUUCAAGCAACAGCUUGUACCUGAAGCAACGCAUAUAGAAAAAAGAACAUAAGCAUAAGACCAUAGACAAUUAUAAGGGCACUUUAACAGUUAAGAAAAAUUAACAAUAUCAUUUCCAUAGGGUUUUUACAUCUGAUGAAACUUCUACCCUAAGAUUGGGUAAUGUAAAUCAUAUACAGAAAAGCUGAAAACUAAAUAACUCAAUGCAACGAACCAGGUUCUUUUUUUUCACUUCUUGUUUUUCACGGACAGUUUUUUCUUUUCACUUUUAUGACACAUAGAAAUGAGUCUAUUCCUAUAUAACCCCUUAAAAUACAAUGAUUGAUAUAAUAGGCCAAUAUUAUACUAAUUAGCAAGAAAAAAAAGAAGGAUGAUAAAAAGAAAACAGAUCCAAAACAGUUUAUCCAAUAUAGAAUAGGUACAGGUUAUACUUAUUUGAUUGGGAAAGGAAAAAAAAAUGAAAGUAUCUUGACCAAAGAAAUGAAGAAUCAAUGCAGACCCUCUAUUCAUUACUAUCAAUAUAAUAAACUAAUUGAGUUCACAUCAAGACUUAUAUCUAAUUGGAGUCUUUAUUAGACUAACGCAUACUUUAUAAAAGCAAAAUUGGAACUUAAAUCAGAUAAAAAAAAAAGAACAGACUUCUAACAAGACUCAUCUUUACUGCACCCUUGUCACCAAUCUGUCCAAGCUAUAGUCUUUGCUUGAGCCACACAGCUUCCCCAAAAGUACCAACCUGAGUACACAAACAUGAAUUAGAUUUAAGGAAUAUUUAAAAACCCAAUAAAAAACUUUCUGAUACCCCAAGAAUCUACACACCGUGAGCCAUGAGAACACACCAUAUCUAGCUGCCAGUAACACUCUUCACCUGAGCAAUUCGCUAGGAAUCAUGAAGGACAACACCAAUUUUAGAUGCUAAAAUUAAUAAGAAAAGUAUUUUAGCAAUUCCAUAAGAAAUUUUAAAUAUUUUACUCCACAUAUUAACUCACCUUUAUCUAACACAAAGGAUUGAAACCAUCAAGAUUGUGAUUGCUUUUGUUAAAUAAAAAAUCAGUGAGCUGCAUGCAACUUCAAUGAUAAAAUAUGGUGCUCUAAAUUACAUAGUUUUAGAUAAUAAUGAGAAAAGAAUAGUUACUCUAAAUUUAGUCACGCACCUUUACCAAAAGAAAAUUCACAGAAGUAAUUGAGAGGAUAAAUAUGAUACUUCCAGACAGAAAGAAAUACAGAAAGUGCAUUUCUCAUGAGCUUGGUUUGGUCUGCUUCGAUAAUCCUCCUGCUCAUGCUGCCCAGGCUUUCCUGGAUGAUUUGAGUUCUGUUUCUAAGGCCAGAAGAACUGGCAAUUACUUUAGCAUUUAGUUUCUUUCUUCCUUUUUGCUGUGCCUUUUAGGCACCCAUUGUAACAAAAAAAAAAAAAAAAUUAACAGAAACUACAGAGAAAUUCCACCUCCUCAGAAGUAAAGUACUAUUAUAACUGUAAAACAUAUCAGGCUCGAUGCAGAUACGAUAGGUAUGUCAAUGAAAUCAAAAAGCCAACAAUGGACAUCCGGUUGCCUUUCAAAUGAAAAUUUGCCCUCAAAAUGAGCUAUUGACGUAAAUAUUGCGAAACAAUGGUAAGAACAGGUAAAUUUCCUCGGAAGUUUCUCCAUGGAGAAUUGGACACAUCCGGGGAAAAACAAAAGGGUAUAUAAGAAAGAUAAUAUUUGUUUAGAGUUUUUACACGUUUAGUACGUGAUUGAUGGUAUACAUGUCACUUUGAUGCAGUAGACAACAUACGGACAUGAAACAUUAUUGAAUCCCGAACUCAGACCCAAGCUUUUUUUAAAACAGAGACAGGAACAUGACCAAAACACAAACAAAAAAUCAUAAUCAAUUUCAAAUUGAAAUGCAAAAGUCCAAAACCCGCUAUGUUUAAACGCACCAACCUUGCAAUCAGUUUAUCAUUUACUAUAUCAUUGAGCAUGUCUUUUACAAUUGAUUCAUUCUCCUAAUGGUUCAAAAAAUCAUGUGAACGUCAUAUUUUGAACAAAACAUUAGUAGCCAUAGUCGAGCUCAAUCUUCGAUAGUGCUUGUCUUUGUAUGUUUAACAGUUGUCGUGCAGAAAUGAAACUUUAGCUCAUAAUCAAAGCAAUAUAUAUUUUUUCAUGAUCAUAAUUAGGAAAAUGCAUAUGUGAAGAUUAAAUGUCNNNNNNNNNNNNNNNNNNNNNNNNNNNNNNNNNNNNNNNNNNNNNNNNNNNNNNNNNNNNNNNNNNNNNNNNNNNNNNNNNNNNNNNNNNNNNNNNNNNNNNNNNNNNNNNNNNNNNNNNNNNNNNNNNNNNNNNNNNNNNNNNNNNNNNNNNNNNNNNNNNNNNNNNNNNNNNNNNNNNNNNNNNNNNNNNNNNNNNNNNNNNNNNNNNNNNNNNNNNNNNNNNNNNNNNNNNNNNNNNNNNNNNNNNNNNNNNNNNNNNNNNNNNNNNNNNNNNNNNNNAAAAAAAGAAAGCUAAAACAUAUUGAUAAACUACCUGUUCUCUAUCCCAAAACUGACCUUGUAAACACUGCCAGCUCCUCAAUUCCCUAAAUUUGCUGUCAUAAUUGAAGUUGUUUGUUGCUGUAAGUUCCUUCAAGGUAAAGAGCAUCCAUGUUGGCUGCUUUUUUUCUUUUUCUUUUUUUCUUGUUUUUACCUAUACAACAGAUUACAACCAUCAAAGCAUGUGGUUACUAAUAUUUUAUGACGAUCAAUUUGAAACUAUGUAUAACCUUCUCUUCUACAUAUCAAACAUCAAAGGCAUCAAUAGGUCAUACCUUCAUAUUCCAACGAAAACUAUUCCAUAGGUCUCCAGCCUUCUUCCAUUAAUCAACAAUAUAUGUAUCUAAAGCCAAAGAAAAAUUGUUAGGACAAAAAAGAAAAUAUAAAGAGAAACCAUAGAACUUUGAUCAUAUUAUUUUGAUCCUGUUGUGUUACGAGUGUUCUAAAUAACCUCAACAUUUUCUGACCAUAGUAGACCCCUCAAUAUAACAGAAUAGCUCUGAGUAAACACAAAAGGUUCCCAAAAAUACCUUUCAGUAUAAGGUCUCCACUCUCAAUUUUUCUUUAAAUUGAAUAAAAUAAAAGAGACCUCUUCCACCAUUAACAUUGCUGACAUUACCCUCCCAUCUACACACCAGAAAUGCUUACUUCAAAACUGAACUGAAUAAUUUCCAACAAUGACUAUGACACAAUUGCUUUCAAUGGAACUCACAAUUAAUAUAUCUUCUGUAAUAAAAGGAAGUUCAUUUCAGUACCGCUAUUUUCCCCCAAUCUGUAAAUGUUGUUCUCAGGUGUGAUCUUAACUCCUUUCCUAAUUUAAUUCCAGGGAAACAUAUGUAUCCUGCCAGAAAAAAUGUUCAAGUUCACGGUUUAUGUAAUACACAUAAAGAAGUUGCGCUCUUACGACAAGUAUUUGUAGUAUUUCCUCCUCCAUUCUGUGUGGCAUUAGCAGUUCUUAGAGCACACAGUGUACCACAUGUAGUACAUGAGACUGAUAUUUGGCCUGCUAUAAAACACAUUAUAAGAGAACACAGUAGUUGGACCAAGUAAGGGUAGAAGAGAUUCAUAAAAAUCAGUAAUGCAUAGAGUGCAAGAUAUAAAUGAGUAUAUUAGUCUCUCUUUCUUUUGGUCUUCCUUAAAGGAAAAUAAAUCUUCAGUUCCAUUAUAUUUCAUGAUAUGGCAAAAUUCAAAUCAGGGCAGUGCAGAAAUAAAUAUCUAUCAAUCCUACUAACCAAAUUUUGAACCUUUGACUUAGUUCCCUCACACUGGUAAUCUGAUAUAGACCCUAAACAUAUUAGAAGUCAUUAUUUCUUUUCUUUUCUACAACUUCUGAAACUAUCACUUUGAGUAAAUGAGCAUAACAACUCGGUAAACCAAAAGACAAAUAGGUCAUCACCUACCUUGUGCAUAAGCAUAUAUAAAUGUAGCUUGUUUUAGCCUAAGUUGGACCAAUUUGAUAAUUAACAAAGGACAGUGAUUUUAAAUUAUGGAAUGUGUUGACCUCUUCUUUGACACACCGAUAGUGCUCAGAGAUGCAAAAUGUCUGAUCUUCUACCAUGGCACCUUCUAUACCCUUUAUUUCUUCUCCAGUGCCUUCAUGAUCUGCAGCACAUUAUUUUUGCUAAUAGAUAUACGAUGAAACAUGUAUGUGAAUUCUUAAUACAUGAUAAAUCCCCACAAUAUGCAGCAGACUUCACUGCCCAAAUCAUGAAAGUCGAUCAUGAAGAACUAUUUCAUGAAGCAUCAUCAGGAAAAUACACUUUCAUGUCCAAUUCUACUGUGCAUUUCAAUUCAAUGACAUAACGGUGUGCACUCCUGUUGAUGGUAGGCCAUGUUCGAUCAAAUGGCCGGUUGAGAGGCCGCAGAGAACCUCAAAUUCUUCCAUUGAAAAUUGAAACUCUGGCACCUAGUAUUUAGUUACCUACUAUAUGACAGAAAGGAACCCCAGUUUGUUGAAGGACAGAAGGAGGCGAACAAACUAAGAAAAAAAGGGGAUGUAAUUACCCUAACGUCUGAUUGUUUCUUAUGUUCACCAAUUGGAGCCUUAUGUUCCCAAUCCAUGGCACCAGAUUUCAGAUUCUCAAGGACAUUUCAUUACACUAAACCAAAUACUUGAUUACGCAAAAUUUCACAAAAGAUUUCACAAAAUUUCUAUGGCGAGGUAUCAUGGUGCUUUACAGAUAAUUAGUUUCAUUAUCCUGUAUGCAUGAUCAGAACAAGGAACAUACAAAAAUCAAGAUUAACUGGUUAGUAAUUUUCGGUCAGCAUUUUACUGGGCCUACCUAUAUUCUCUUCCAAGCUCACAUAAGUAAGCAAAAUCAUUAAAUGAGUUUUGUAGAGCUUUUUGAUAAUAUGUAAGGUUUAUACUUUCUGAAGGAAUUUGUAAUCUAAGAAUACCAACUAACUAUCAAGUAGGUGUUUAGGCAUUCAUUUGUAUGUUGGGCGGUAUAGUGAAAAUCAACUUCGCUCACAUUUCCAAAUAAUAUAUGAAAUGCAGGGCUCACAUUGUGCAUCUCACACAGAAGGCAUGUAAAUAAAAAAUGAAUUAUAUAGAGGACUUCAGUGUUAAGCCAACAGAAUGAAGACAGAAAAAAACCAUCUGAAGUUCUAAUGCAUUUAAAAAAAAAAUAAAAAAAAAGUAAUUCGUGAACAAAAGGAAAUAGAGAUAACAAUAAUAUCUACCAUUGAUAUGCAAGACCUACACUUAUAAUUAUAGACUUUUCAGCUGUGCAAUUUACAAUGUAUAUUGACAGCAUGAUUGAAGUGAGGGAACCUUACCAAUCUGGAUCUGUCUUAAACUCUUCAUCAAAGUCAUAUUCAACGCACUGUGUGCUGCAAAAUCCAGUAACCACUGAAGAUGAAAGAAAUGCAACUGUAAAAAUCAGCAGAGUUGUAGAGUUUAGUGCAUAUAUAAAUGAUAUGCACAUUAAUCAUCCAAAUAUUAGUACCAAUUAAGAGCGAUCGGAACCCUAAAAACAUCAACUACACAUAAAAGCAUAGAGAUAUUCAUUGUAAUUGUAAGCUAAAAAAUAUUAAUCAUUCGAUAAUGAAGAGCGAAUCAAAUAUAUAGAAACUGACCAUAUUACAUAUUUUUCUCAUAAAGAUAGUUUUUAGUUGCGUGGAUAUUAACCAAAUGCAGUUAUAGAUCAAAUAUUCAUAAAUAUUAUGCUGACCUUCAAUUCCACUUUCUACUUUGAUUCCAAGGCCUCGUACCAUAUGGAAGCACCAACUGUUUAUAAGGUAUAUGAAGCCUUGAAAACGCAUACUUGAUUUCUCAUUAUACAAAGCCGAUCUCGAUUUUCUCAAGACGUGGUUGUUUCAGAAUCCAAAGCAAACCCAGCAUAAACUUCAUAACCGAAAAAAAAAAAAACAAUGAAAAAGAGUUUUGAUGCUGAAGAUACAUAUCAAAGUCUCCCAAAACAAAAUAAAUAAGAGCAAUUCCUACAAAAUGAUAUAUCCAGAUGCACAAACCCAAGAAAAAAAAAAAAAAGUUUACCUUGUGCAUUCAAAUAGCCAAAAAAUCGAAUCAAAAGAGAUAACUACCAUAUUAAGCGAUUCCUACUAGCUAUACUCAGCCUUGGACAAACCAUAGUGGUUUUCCACUGGUAUUCAUCCAGGAGGUCCUUACUUUUUCACCUAAAAACGGUCACAGACCAUCAAGCAAUCUAGUAAUCCUCUUGUUGUUUUCAAUGAAAAUACACGUACGGCUUAAUAAGCAGAGAGGAUUGCAUAAGAUACACAAUGUUGUCAUGGAAGGCUGCAAUUAUCAAUAUCUAAGUAAUUUUAAAUUGUUUCUCCAAUCGACCUGCCAAGAGGUAUGAAAUACAAAAAGGGGUUUAAUACCAAUUAGCCGAAUUCAACAUCAUAUAUUACAUGGCGAGCUCUCACCUUGACAACACUGUGUAAAAGCAGGAAUUGAAGUCACAGGAGGUUGAUCCUCUACAUCAGUCCUAUUAGCCUGAAAAUCAAAAUUAAGCAAGUUCAGGUUACAGUCGAGUAAAGCCUAGGGGUCUCGAAGGCACUCCACGAUCUGAAAAUUGUCAGCAGAAGCAAUUAAAAAAAAAAACAGAAAGAAGAUAGAGAUAAGCCGGCUACCUGAAUUUGUUCCAGAUGAAAAAGUUGAGCGUCAUGGACGGCGUAAGCUCCUUCAUCCAAGUAGUCCGGCAUUUGAACAAGGAAAAUAACAAUAUGGUAGGUAAUUAGAUCAGAAACAGUUCGGAUAUCAAAAAGAGAGCAAAGACGAUCAAAAUUCAGAUUCACAAUAUAAAAAACGAAAUAACAAACUUAGGAGAAAUAAGCACACCUGAAAAAAUAUACCCCCCUUACAGCCUCACAAACACAGAGCACCAACUUCAAUCUAAAAUCCAAUUCCUAAACACAUGCAGAACAACAAACCAAACAGUUAAAGUAAAAAGGAAGCGAAAUACUUAUCAAAGUUAAGGAAACAUUCGAGUGACUACAAUACUCAAACUCGUACUCCAUCAGUCAAACUUGUACUCAUUCUUCAGUUCAUCUCUUUACCUCAGGAUAAUCCACAAAACAGAAGCUUGAACUAAUCUUGGUUUAAAGAAAGGAUUGCUGAUCUAAAAGUGAAAAUAAAUUCAGUGUGAAAGACGAAUUCCUUACCAGAUUUAUAGGAUCUAAACGCGAUCGUCUUUCCAGAGCUGCACAUUAAUCACCAAAAAGAAUUUUAAGCACAUUUAACAGCAAACUCUAAUAGGUUUUUUAACCUUUACAACACUUAAACAAAAAAGUAAAGAAGCAAUCAUCACCUUCCUUGUACAAAUGAAAGGAAUAAAUUGCAAAACCGAUACAGCAAUAAUGAACUCGAAGAGCAUGACCAAGUUGAAAAAUCCAAGUUGAUAAUAAGUAUCAUUUCAGUAGGCAACUAUUCAUAUAUUCAAGUGCAUCAAUCAUAUUGCAUCAAAUAAUGUAUUCUAAGCAACCAAUUUUGAUUAAAAUCCUUAUCAGACUGCGCUAAACAUAUAAUAAAAUCAGAAAUUACUCGCAGCAUUGCAAGACUGAGGCAAUAGAUCAGUGACACCAAUUCCCCAGAUAUAUGUUGUGCUCUAACCUCCUGCAAUAAUUUUCAUCAGCGGCAACAAUAUCAAAACGAAAACGUCAAGUCUCGGUACCUAAAUAUCCUAAACUUUGGACCCCAAUUGACAUGGGCACUUACAGUGAGAAGUCACGAAAAGGUUAAAGCUCUUCCCUUUUUUCUAUUUUCCUUUUGCUGAUUGGUUUGAUCCGAAUUGAGAUAUUGUUCGGUAUCAUUGAUAAGUACUAUCAAAAUCGGGUUUACAGACUUGGGCUUGGGGAAACAAAUUCAAACAAAUAGGAACUAAGUUUGAAGCACAAUUCGCACAAUUCUCAAGCACGAAAACCAAUCUUCUAAAACUCUAAUGGAUCAGAUAAAAACUGUAAAUAAACAUGACUUGAGAGUCAAAAACCCAAGUCAAAACUUCAAAAAUUCAUUUUUCACAUGAAAUUGAACAAACAGGAGAAGCGUUAGAAAUCUGGGUCGAAAAUCAGACGCUGACAAUCACAGCUACCGAAAUCCUCUUUCUCUCUGUCACAAAAACGCGGUCUCAAUCCAAAAUUCGAUACCCAUAUCUCAAAUUGCCAAUAAAUGGAAAACACAGAACAAAUUUCGAAUUUACCAUGAAAAAAGAAAACCAAAUGAUAACCUAAAACCAAAACUGAAAUCAAACAAAGAAUUACCCAGACCGCUAUGCCAAUCGACCGGACAAGAACAACAGAAAAAGCAUUACACUUUAAUAAGAGGAUUGUGAAAAACAGGAAAAGAGAUCAAAGCAAUUGAACUAGUAAUUACAUUCAGCAUCGUUAGUUCCCAGCCAGGUCCAGUUAUCUCAUUUUGUAUUCUGGUGGCACUCGGAAGCAAACAGAAGAAAGAAAGAAAAAUCAUAUUGAUACUCAGAUUAAGCAAACAUGAAAAUUAAAUCAAGCAGAUGAAAGCAAAGUUUUCUUUCUUUGAAGCCACUAUAUAAUCGAUACAAUUUUCUUUAUUUGAGUACAAUGCAUGUAAAGUUUGUAACUCUUACCUGAAAAACUGCUUAAAAAUGAAACUCAAAUCAGCAAGCUAUAUACUGGAAUUCGGUGCAAUCGAUUAUUGAGGUGCUAGACUGCAGCAGAGGCAAAACCCGAAUCAGCUCAAAUCAAGGAAACAGAAAACCAGUCAAAAAUAACAAUGUGCAUCACAUUCUUCAUCAGAUAAAACAUGCUGUUAUGUUUGAAAAGAUAGUGACCGCCGAAGAUCAAAGCAAUUGAGCUAGUACUUACAUUCACCAUCUUUAGUUUCCUGCCAGGUCCAGUUAUCUCUCCAAUUUAGUUCGGGUGGCACUCGAUAGCAAAAAGAAGAAAGAAACGAAAAUCAGAGUGAAACUCAGAAAGAAAGAAAUACAAUUUUCUUUAUUUGAGUAUAUUGCACGUAAACUGUAACUUUACCUGGCAAACUGCUAAAAAAUGAAAAUCAAAUCAGCAAGCUAUAUACUGGAAGUCGGUGCAAUCAAUCAUUGAGGUCCUAGACUGCAGAACAGACAAACACCGAAUCAGCUCAAAUCAGGUAAUGGGAACGGUUAUCCUUCUUGAAAUGAUAAGCUCAAUCUCAAACAGUAUAAAAACCACACAAAAACGGAAUGAAAAAAUUUGAAAUACUGAGACAUGUUAACAUGUUAACAAAUCCUCCAAAAAUUGGAUCCCGUCCAAAAUCAACCAAACUCGACCGGGCACAUGUUAACAAAUCCUCCAUAGAUUUUCACUCAAAGAUAACUCAUCUGCUCUACACCAACAAUAAAAAAAAAUAUGGAUAGAACCAAAAGAAAAGGAUAAGAAAUACCGAGACAUUAGAGUUGCUCAAAAUAUGGACAAAUAAGAACAAAAUGGUCUUCAAUAGCGGGUUGUAUAGCAGAUAUACUGCUAAACUUAGUAUUAUAAAGUUCAUAACAGAUAUAAGGCAAUGAUGAAAGCCAGGUUCAGCUAACGACAUGACUUUCAGAUAUAAGGCAAUUUGAUUAUGAAAUGAAAACCUAAAUAGUUAAGUGCAGUCAUCAAGAUAAUCUUCCCAAUAGUUGAAAUCUGGAAACCGCGAGAUAGAAGAUGAAGUGAUUCACAACACCGUUAGUUGUUACCUGGUCGUAAGUACUGACUCCAAUACUCAAACUCGUACUCCUUCAGUCAAACUUGUACUCAUUCUUUAGUACAUUUCUUUACCUCAUGAUAAUCCAAAAAACAGAUACUUGAAUUAAUUUUGGUUUAACGAAAGGAUUGCUUAUCUAAAAGUGAAAACAAAAUUCAGUUUGAAAGACGCAUUCCUUACCAGAUUUAUAAGAUCUAAACCCGAUUGUCUUUCCACUAAGAUCCAGAGCUGCACAUUAAUCACCAAAUAGAAUUUUAAGCACAGAUAAAGGCAAACUCUAAUUAGGUUUUUUUUUUUUUUUUAACCUUUACAAUACUAAAGACAAAAGUAAAGAAGCAAUCAACCAGCAGCAUUGACAACCUGUACAAAUAAAAGGAAUAAAUUGCAAAACUGAUACAGCGAUACUGAAAUUGAAGAUCAUGACCUAGUUGAAAAAUCCAUGUUGAUAUGUAACACUAGGAAAAUUGCCCGUGCUGUGUUUCGAUGCCUUAUCCAAUAUUGCAUCUAGAAAUGUAGCAACAGAAUUACCCUGUUCAAAGAUUACAAGUAACAAUCAGACAAGAGAUGUAUACCUGGUCAAGCGUGCAACAUUUCUUUAUUAAAGGGCCGACAGGGCAGGCAUCACUUAGUUGUUCGUUUAGAUCCUUCAAUUCCCUUUCUAACUCUGAUAUCCCUUCAGAGUCCUGUUGAUCCAGAAUAACAAAUCAGUUAUUAAAGCUUCGUCAUAACAAAAGUAUCACUUUCUCCUACAAGCUAGCCCAAUAAGAACGGUGAAUAAAUAAAGCACAUUGAACAUGCACAUUACCGACAAAUUAAAUCAUUUUAGCUUGCAAUUUUGCAUAUCACAAAACAUGUUCUACCAAAAAAAAGUUACCUCUUUAACUGAAACUGGGGUAAUUGACCUUAUGUGAGAUGAAAUUGGUAGAAUAUUCAGUUCAUCACCCAUAACCACACAUGCUUUGCACGAUGCAAGUGAUAAUAAGAAACGCACAUUAAAACAGCCUGUAGCCUGGGAAUGGGAUUCGGUUUGAAACCUGUCAUGGACAUCCUGAAAUCAAGAAGCUCACAUAUGAGUACUACAGAUAUCUUUCACUUGAAAACUGCUGUGAAGAGCAGCUAUGACAUAAAUACUGAAUGUAUAGCACGGCAGUGCUACAACAGUUAACAAGUAAAUUUUUCAGAUAGAAAGAAAAUAACAAGCCUAAACAGUACGUCGCUAUGCUUAACUAUAGUGUCUCUGAGAGCUGUAGCAGUAGAAGAAUAGAUUCAUACCAUACCAUGGUGUAUAAGUUGGUGAGUGAGGUCAAAGAACGAAGCAACAGUAUGAUUAGUCCGCCACCCUCCACCGUCUCUGGAACCAUUUCUGAUUCUGCACUCCCUCCCUAAUGUUCCUUUCUCUAUGUCUCUCUAAUAAACCCCUCCCUAUUCAAAACCAAAAUGAAAAGUCAGCCAAUAUAUUCACAGCGGAAAAAAAAAUCACCUAAAUCUGAAAAAUGGACAUGAAGAAUAUGAAAGUAGUAACAGGAUUUUACUCGAUAAAUGAUUUGAAGACUAAUUACAAUUAUUUAAUAUAAAAGUCACCUGGAUUACUAUUUGUUACAUACAAAUCGGAACUGUAAAAGUAGUUUGAUCUAUGAAAAAUAGAAAAUAAUAUUAUUAAGAGAUGAUAAAGAACUAAUAGCAAAAUGAAAAAUAAACUUUAAAAGAAUCAAAGUGACCUGCAAACCCGGAAGAACAAUCAAAGUCAAGCCUCAGAUGCUGAUGCCCUUGCCACAAACAGUGUUAAUCAUGAACUUGGUUUCAUUGCUUUUGACCAUCCUCCCAACCAUGCCGCACAAGCCUUUCUGGAUGACAUUGCUAUUGUUUCUAGAGCUAGGAUGAGCUCUUCCUCUAAUUUUUAGUCUGUUUGUUUUUUCUGCUUUUUGACCAACGUAACAAAAAAAAGAAAGUCAAGCCGCAGAUACCUCACUCAAUCUUAGACGUAAAAUACUUGAGUAUCCAUUCUUUCACUCUUUCUAUUCUAUUGCAAAUCCACAGAGACAUUGAAAUGUGAAUGAAUUUGGCUAGAAAACAUAUCUUGUUUGCAUAUAUCGGAUGUAAAUUGUUUUUGGCCAUGCACAGCAAUCAAAUCUGCAACUAAAUAUUUUUGCUCAGAACUGUCAUCAUUAACAUUCAACGGGUACAUUUUUGGAUUUUCAAUCAAUUUUAGAUGCGUUGCAUGCAUUUUAUCUAUGUGUACAUAUUUCUGAUGAACAGCUAAAUCCUAAUGUGAGUUAUCAAAAGGUCUGCAAUCACACCCAAUGUGAAAAGUAAAAUAAACAGAACACAGACCUUCAAUACGGAAUUAAGUCCCAGCAACCUUCACCGAACCUGCAAAUAAAAAAAAUAAAAAAUAAAAAGUAUUCGCAAGACCCAAUCCAAAAUCCAACUGGUCAUGUGAAUAAAUAAUAGCACACUCAAACUCACAUAUCAAAAAAGGACUUCAUCCAUACAGUACUCAUUUAAUCACGUUGCAUACAACAUUGCAAUCCUAAAUUCUUAACCUCAUAAAAGCUGCAAACCCUCCUAUCGUAUCUAAAGAUGGAAAAAUCUGUCUGCAUUAUAAUAUAGCAGCAAUCCUUCUUAACAAUGCAUGGAGCUUCUCCAUUUAGAAGGCAAAAGAUCAACCAUUUUUGCAGCUCAUCAUCAGAAUUUUAUUUUAUUUUUACAUGUACAAAGUCUUUGAAGCCCUAUUAUUCUUCUCUGUUUAUUUCUGUUCUAAUUCACACAAAUAAUGCAAGCAGAUGAUGGAAAUAUGAUAUAUUCAAAGAUGGACAACAGGAAAUGCAUAAUUAGAUGUAAAUAUGGAUGUGAUUCUCAGUAUGCAAAUGUCAUCCAUUAACAUUCUAUUACAUGAUCAUCAACCUCUAUAGCAAAAAAAACAGUUUAUCAAACCUGACCAACUAAGCUUCGAUUUGAACAGCUGCUUGCUAACUGACUCUAUGUUCUUUUACACUCCAAUAGGCGUAAUGUGAAUCAUUUCUAGAAAAUAAACAGUUAGCCUUAAAGGUUAUAGUUUAUACAGUGAACAUAAGGAGACAAAAAUUUCUUAUCUAAUUUUUUAUAGACAUACUACCCCCUCACCUUCUAAAACAGGAAAAACCAUGAAUGAUGAUAAGCUAAUUGAGUACGGUAGCACUGUAAAACACACCAUUCAAAUCAUAAAGCUGAGCCACAAAGCCACACAGCAGAGCUCUUCAUUAAUUAGCAUGAACAAAAGAGAGAAGAAAACGAAAGGAAAAUCAACUUCAAAGAAAAACAAAAUCCGAACCCCAACUGAAAAGCAAAGAAAACAAGGACCAGCUCAAAUCCACAAACAUUAAAAAUGAUAUUGAGGGAAAAUUGAAAGGAUUACCAAGACCUCAAAAAGAGACGAAGUCACUAUCUUCCGGAGCCAACCAAAUCCAAAACCUCUCUAGUCCUCUUCACCAUAGUUUUAAUAGUUGAUACUGUAACGACAAUAAGAAAACCCAUAAUCAGAAUCCAAUUUAUACAAAACCCUAAGUAAAAAUGGAACAGCGAAUUUGUUGAAGGUCGCCAUAAAAUCCAUAACAGCAUUCUUCCGCAAUUCAGUAGUAGAAUAGAAUGCAGCUGCUACAUAUAUAAACAUUGUUUCCCCUCAAGCUAUAGAAUUACGAAAUGCAUAAUUAGGUUAAUACAAGUAAUUGGCCAUUAACCAAUAAAUUUUCAGCCUGUGUCACUAUCAUUAUCUUGAUAUUCAGUUUGGAUAGUUUUUGACUAACCAUCUAUAUAGAAGCAUAUAGAGAAAUUAGAGUUACCUUUACCACCUUAAUGCAACGUUUGCUUCCUGCGUGUAGUUUAUGCAUCUUAGAGCCUCAAAUGGUGCCUACUCCGCCACAUAAAAACGAAAAAUAGAAACAAAACUUCAUGAGAUUGAAGAACUGAGUAGUAAGCAAAAUUGCAUACAAAUUAAAACAACCCAACGGCAUUUAAUUGAGAUCACCAGAUCACACCUGCAAGUCUGUAACCAAAUAUAUAAGGUUCCUUCAAAAUGGAGAUAGGAAGAAAACCUGGAACUAACUUAAUGAGGCCACAAAAUCAUAAAUGUAAUCAAAUAUAUAGGAUUCCUGGUAGCUUAAUCUUCGAUAGUGCUUGUCUUUGUAUGUUUAACAGUUGUUGGGCAGAAAUGAAACUGUUUAGCUCAUAAUCAAAGCGAUAUAUAUUUUUUCAUGAUCAUAAUUAGGAAAAUGCAUACGCGAAGAUUAAAUGUCUAGUAUUUAUUCAGCUAAGUGUAGGCAUUAUUUUUUAAAGAGACAAAAAAAAAUGAACUAUAGUUUUCUCCCAGCCUUGCAAACGUUUAUUUAAAUCUGCAGACUUGAAAAGUUUAAUAGAACUUAUUUAACUUAAAAAGAUAAUUAGCCAGGUAAAAGCAUUUAAAACCAUAGGAUAACAAUGCCUACACUUAUACCUUUAGGAGUGGAACCAAUUUAAACUCCAUGAGAUCUUAAUCAUUCAGUUGUACCUUUUUACAAAACAAUCAAAAAAAAAAAAACAAUUCAUGAUACAAACAUCAAGAUCAACUGGUUAGUAUUUUUACUCAAGCUACCUAAAUUUUCUUCCAAGUAGGCAUAAGAGGGCAAAUAAUUAAAUGAGUUUUGUUGAGAUAUUUUGAUAAUAUGAGGUUUGUAUUUUUUGUAAGAAUUUGUAAUCUAUUAAAGCUGACUAACUAUUAUGUUGAAGUUUAUGCAUUCAUCUGUAUGUUGGGUAGUAUAGUAAAGUUGACCCUGUUUUAGGGAAGAAAGAAACACAAAUUUCACAUUCCCAGAUAAUAUAUGAGAUGCAGGGAUUUCAAAAUUUAAUGUCACUAUACAAAUAGAAAUUUUACACAACUUUAGAAAAGAAACAAACCUGAGUAAAAAGAAAAACCCAGAAAAAGAAAAAUGGAGGACUGCAAACAAAGGAAUAGCAGUGGAGAACUGAGACCAAUAAACCUUUACAUGAAAUCUGCAAAUAAUAAACAGAAAACGAUGAGAUUCUGCAACUAAUCGCUAUAAUUUUACAACAUUGUAAUUUACCCUCUCACUCACUACCAUCAUAACAGAACACAAAUAUAAACUUUCCAUAAAAAAUUUCACAGUUGGGAUAAAAUCAAGCUAUCCAUAUGGAUGCAACAACAUGUAUAUCAAACCUAAAACUCACUUUCCAAGCAUCAGUUUUCAUAUCUAGUCAGUCCCAUUAAUCCAGUUAAUACCAGCUCUCUAUAUUCACAACCUUCCCAAAGCAAACACCCAAAUUAUAACCAAUGCACAUUGCACUUCAGAUUAGUACUGUAUUUGUUCUUAAUUGAGCUCACAUCAAUACUUAUAUCUAAUUGAAGUCUUUAUUAGACUAACGCAUACUUUAUAAAAGCAAAAUUGGAACUUAAAUCAUAUAAAAAUUAUAAAAAAAGAAGUUCUAACAAUACUUAUCUUUCUGCUGGGUGGUUUUUGUAACUGAAGAUUCUGCUGGCCUUUUCUGCAAGCAGGAGUGAUGAAGAUCAAAAUUCUACCACUACCCAGAUUUUGCGAUCACUGGAAGCUGAUGAAGUGGCGCGAAAACGAAAGAAGAAUAAUGAUAGUGAGCGGAAGAAUAAAGACAGGGAAAGAAAGGUGUCGAGAUAUCUGGAAGAUUCAGAGGCGGCAAGAGAGAGAUGCCCAAAAAGUUCUGAUAUCUAAACCCUAGCAAGAUGCCCGCACGUUGCAGCGGGACUUUGGCGUAUUUCUGCUUGUGAUAGCUCCAAUGUUUCAAGCAACCACAAAUAUACUUGAGCUUGUUAAUAGACAGCAGCCCAUUCACAUUGUUUAUUAGGUCGGCCCAGAAACUAAGAAAGCAAAAAAGAAAAAAGGAGUGACAAUACAUUCCAUGAAAGCGCAUCUAACAAAAAGAAAAAUAUGGAAAAUCAUGAAAUCCGAUGAAUGAAUUUUUAACCUCUUUGUCACGCGGUAGCUUUGCUAAGUAGCUCUUUCAACCUCUUGCAAUUCCUUCAUUUAGAAUUGCUGGAUUUAGUAGCUCUUUCAACCUCUUCUUUGUUUUUUUUUAUGUGUAAGCUGUGCUCCCAAGUGUCUUGGACAAAUCAAUCUGCAUAAUUAUGNNNNNNNNNNNNNNNNNNNNAUUCUUGCGGUUUUUAAUGUAUGUCAUACUUAGGAAAUCUUAUAAUGAUUUCCACAUCAGUUAGUUGCAAGUGGUUGGUCCUCUACAUCAGUCCUAUUUGUCUGAGAGUCAAAAUUAAACAAACGCAGAUUACAGUCUAGUAAAGCCUAGGGGUGACGAAGGCGCAGAAGCAAUCAAAUAGAUAGGGAAAAAAAAAACAAAAGAAAAUAGAGUUAAGCGCACUACCUGAAUUUUUUUGAGAUGAAAAGGUUGACCUUCUUAGAUGGCGUAAGCUCCUUAAUCCAAGUAGUCUGGCUUUCUAUCGAAGAAAGAGUUGACAGCAAACAUCUUUGGAAGGAAAAUGAAUGCCUUUCUGAAGCUGAAGCUUGGGCUUUUCUAAAUCUCAGACACUGCUCACAAAACCUAUACAAUGAAAUAACAGUAGACAUGUGAGUUGAUCUUAUCAUGAUUGCUCAUAAAACCCCACAUAUAUAUAUAUAUAUACACAGUUGAGAUCAGAGACGAACGUCCGCACGCCCUUAAAGUGCGGACGUCCCUCCGUUCUCCACCGUACGGCUCCGACGACGGCGCGCCUCCACCCUAGCGUGAGAGAAAGUGAUCAAGGACGCUGCUGGAGGCCGCUAAGGUGGAGGCGCACCGUCGUCGGAGCCGGACGGUGGCGAACGGAGGGACAUCCGCACUUUAAGGACGGUACGGAUGUCCUUUUUGGAACGGCUCCGUAUAUAUAUAUAAAUAUAUAUAUAAACCAAUGUCAAUUUUGCAUUCCUUUUAAACUGUAUGAACCUACCCUCGAUUUUUCAAUUCAAGAAAAUGCCAGAGUAAAACUAUAAGAAAGUAGAUCCUUACACUGGUUGACUGUAAAAGAAACCAAUCGAUUGAUAUAACUAAAAACACAGAUUGCUGCUUUCCAUAUUACAUGCACAGUAAUAUAAUUAGAAGCGCUGAAGUAAAAAGUAAUGUAAUUAAUAUACCUUUUCAGAGUUGAUAUGCCAAGAAGGAUCCAAAAGUUUACACCUGCAAAAAGGAUGCACAUUGAGAUUUUAUCUAAAACAGAAAUUGAAAACAGACUGAAAAUAAAUGAAGCCUAAAAUUGUCUUCAACACAACAAAAAAUUGAUCUAUUAUGCUAUUAUGCCCAUGACUUCACUGUCCAAAUCAAGAAAGUCGAUCAUGAAGAACUAUUUCAUGAAGCAUCACUGUGCAUUUCAAUUCAAUGACAUAACGAUGUGCACUACUCUUGAUAGUAGGCCAUGUUGAAUCAAAUGGCCGGUUGAGAGGCCACAGAGAAACUCAAAUUCUUACAUUGAAAACUGAAACUCUGGCACAAAAUGUAAUAGUGUUUUCAUUAUAUGCAACCACCUAGUAUUUAGUUACCUACUAAAUGACAGAAAGGAACCCCAGUAGUUUUGUGAAGGACGGAAGGAGGCGAACAAACUAAGAAAAAAAGGGGAUGUAAUUACCCUAACGUCUGAUUGUUUCUUAUGUUCACCAAUUGGAGCCUUAUGUUCCCAAUCCAUGGCACCAGAUUUCAGAUUCUCAAGGACAUUUCUUUACACCAACCCAAAUACUCGAUUACGCAAAAUUUCACAAAAAACACACCUUUUGUUCGACCAAGAUUUUCGACCCAUUUCUACCCACCCAAUCAUCAUCAGUCCAAAUUAUAUGACCAUCUCAGUCAUUCAAACAAAGAAUGACUAUGCCCUUUAAAUAGGAAAUACUAAAACAUCUUUAUAUAGUUUCCAAUAUAUAAAGCCAAUGCCAAACCUUAAUCAAAGCCUUGAGUCUCCUCUCAAAUAUAUCAUUAUUUCUAUGGCGAGGUAUCAUGGUGCUUUACAGAUAAUUAGUUUCAUUAUCCUGUAUGCAUGACCAGAAUAAGGAACAUACAAAAAUCAAGAUUAACUGGUUAGUAAUUUUCGGUCAGCAUUUUACUGGGCCUACCUAUAUUCUCUUCCAAGCUCGCAUAAGUAAGCAAAAUCAUUAAAUGAGUUUUGUAGAGCUUUUUGAUAAUAUGUAAGGUUUAUACUUUCUGAAGGAAUUUGUAAUCUAAGAAUACUAACUAACUAUCAAGUAGGUGUUUAGGCAUUCAUUUGUAUAGUGGGCGGUAUAGUGAAAAUCAAAUUCUUUUUAAAUCUGCAAAUAGUAUACCUUCCCUCACAUUUCCAAAUAAUAUAUGAAAUGCAAGGCUCACAUUGUGCAUCUCACACAGAAUGCAUGUAAAUUGCAGUCUAUGAAUUGGAUAUACCUGUGACGCAGACCACUUUUAAACACUUCAUUUCAAGCAACACCAACUUGUACCUGAAGCAACACAUAUAGAAAAAGAACAUAAGCAUAAGACCAUAGACAACUAUAAGCGCACUUUAACAGUUAAGAAAAAUUAACAAUAUCAUUUCCAUAGGGUUUUUACAUCUGCUGAAACUUCUACCCUAAGAUCGGGUAAUGUAAGUCAUAUACAGAAAAGCUGAAAACUAAAUAACUCAAUGCAACAAAGCAGGUUCUUUUUUUUCACUUCUUGUUUUUCGCGGACAGUUUUUUCUUUUCACUUUUAUGACACAGAGAAAUGAGACUAUUCCUAUGCAACCCCUUAAAAUAAAAUUAUUCAUAUAAUAGGCCAAUAUUAUACUAAUUAGCAAGAGAAAAAGAAAGAUGAUAAAAAGAAAACAGAUCCAAAAUUCAAUGCAGAACCUCAAUUCAUUACCAUCAAUAUAAUAAACUAAUUGAGCUCACAUCAAUACUUAUAUCUAAUUGAUGUCUUUAUUAGACUAACGCAUACUUUAUAAAAGCAAAAUUGGAACUUAAAUCAGAUAAAAAAAAGAACACAGUUCUAACAAUACUCAUCUUUACUGCACCCUUGUCACUAAUCUGUCCAAGCUCUAGUCUUUGCUUGAGCCACACAGCUUCCCCAAAAGUACCAACCUGAGUAUACAAACACGAAUUACAUUUAAGGGAAUAUUUAAAAACCCAAUAAAAAACUUUCUGAUACCCAAGAAUCUACAAACCGCGAGCCUUGAGAACACACCAUAUCUAGCUGCCAGUAACACUCUUCACCUGAGCAAUUCCCUAGGAAUCAUGAAGAACAACACCAAUUUUAGAUACUAAAAUUAAUAAGAAAAGUAUUUUAACAAUUCCAUAAUAAAUUUUAAAUAUUUUACUCCACAUAUUCUUUCUCACAAACUCACCUUGAUCUAACACAAAGGAUUGAAACCUUCAAGAUUGUGAUUGCUUUUGUUUAAUAAAAAAUCAGUGAGCUGCAUGCAACUUCAAUGAUAAAAUAUGGUGAUCUAAAUUACAUAGUUUUAGAUAAUAAUGGGAAAAGAAUAAAAUGUUACUCUAAAUUUAGUCAACGCACCUUUACCAAAAGAAAAUUCACAGAAGCAAUUCAGAGGAUAAAUAUGAUCCUUCCAUACAGAAAGAAAUAAAGAAACUGCAUUUCUCAUGAGCUUGGUUUGAUCUGCUUCGAUAAUCCUCCUGCUCAUGCUGCCCAGGCUUUCCUGGAUGAAGUGAGUUCUGUUUCUAAGGCCAGGAAAACUGGCAAUUGCUUUAGCAUUUAGUUUCUUCUUUUGUAACCAAAAAAAAAAAAUGAGCCAACAAUAGACAUCCCGUUGGCUUUCAAAUGAAAAUUUGCCCACAAAAUGAGCUAUUGACGUAUAUAAGAAAAGAUAAUAUUUGUUUAGAGUUUUUACACGUUUAGUAUGUGAUUGAUGAUAUGCAUGUCACUUUGAUGCAGUAGACAACAUACGGACAUGAAAUAUUAUUGAAUCCCGAACUCAUACCCAAGCUUUUUUUAAAACAGAGACAGGAACAUGACCAAAACACAAACAAAAAAUCAUAAUCAAUUUCAAAUUGAAAUGCAGAGGUCCAAAACCCGCUAUGUUUAAAUGCACCAACCUUGUAAUCAGUUUAUCAUUUACUAUAUCAUUGAGCAUGACUUUUACAAUUGAUUCAUUCUCCUAAUGGUUCAAAAAAUCAUGUGAACGUCAUAUUUGUUCAAAACAUUAGUAGCUCAUAAUCAAAGCGAUAUAUAUUUUUUCAUGAUCAUAAUUAGGAAAAUGCACAUGCGAAGAUUAAAGGUCUAGUAUUUAUUCAGCUAAGUGUAGGCAUUGUUUUUCUAAGAGACAAAAAAAAACAAAAAUGAACUAUAGUUUUCCCCCAGCCUUGCAAACUUUCAUUUAAAUCUGUAGACUAGAAAAGUUUAAUACAACUUAUUUAACAUAAAAAGAUAAUUAGCCAGGUAAAAGCAUUUAAAACCAUACGCUAACAAUGCCUACGUUUGAAUAGAUAGUGACUACCGAAGAUCAAAGCAAUUGAGCUGGUACUUAUAUUCACCAUCUUUAGAUUCCAGCCAGGUCCGGUUAUCUCUCCAAUUUAGUAUUCGGGUGACACUCGAUAGCAAAAAGAAGAAAGUAAGAAACAAAAAUCAGAUUGAAACUCAAAAAGAAAGAAAUACAGUUUUCUUUAUUUGAGUAUAUUACAUGUAAACUGUAACUUUACCUCAUAAACUGCUAAAAAAUGAAAACCAAAUCAGCAAGCUAUAUACUGGAAUCGAUCAUUGAGGUCCUAGACAGCAGAACAGACAAACGCCGAAUUAGUUCAAAUCAGGUAAUGGGAACGGUUAUCCAUCUUGAAAUGAUAAGCUCAAUCUCAAACAGUAUAAAAACCACACAAAANNNNNNNNNNNNNNNNNNNNUUCAAGAUUGUGAUUGCUUUUGUUUAAUAAAAAAUCAGUGAGCUGCAUGCAACUUCAAUGAUAAAUUAUGGUGAUCUAAAUUACAUAGUUUUAGAUAAUAAUGGGAAAAGAAUAAAAUGUUACUCUAAAUUUAGUCAACGCACCUUUACCAAAAGAAAAUUCACAGAAGCAAUUGAGAGGAUAAAUAUGAUACUUCCAUACAGAAAGAAAUAAAGAAAGUGCAUUUCUCAUGAGCUUGGUUUGGUCUGCUUAGAUAAUCCUCCUGCUCAUGCUGCCCAGGCUUUCCUGGAUGAUUUGAGUUCUGUUUCUAAGGCCAGAAGAACUGGCAAUUACUUUAGCAGUUAGUUUCUUUUUUUGUAACCAAAAAAAAAAAGAAAUACAGAAACUCAGAGAAAUUCCACCUCCUCAGAAGUACUAUUACAACUGUAAAACAUAUCAGGCUCCAUGCAGAUACGAUAGGUAUGUCAAGGAAAUCAAAAGCCAACAAUGGACAUCCCGUUGGCUUUCAAAUGAAAAUUUGCCCACAAAAUGAGUUAUUGACGUAUAUAAGAAAGAUAAUAUUUGUUUAGAGAUUUUACACGUUUAGUAUGUGAUUGAUGGUAUGCAUGUCACUUUGAUGCAGUAGACAACAUACGGACAUGAAAUAUUAUUGAAUCCCGAACUCAGACCCAAGCUUUUUUUAAAACAGAGACAGGAAGAUGACCAAAACACAAACAAAAAAUCAUAAAUUUCAAAUUUAAAUGCAGAAGUCCAAAACCCGCUAUGUUUAAACGCACCAACCUUGUAAUCAGUUUAUCAUUUACUAUAUCAUUGAGCAUGACUUUUACAAUUGAUUCAUUCUCCUAAUGGUUCAAAAAAUCAUGUGAAACGUCAUAUUUGUUCAAAACAUUAGUAGCCAUAGUCGAGCCCAAUCUUCGAUAGUGCUUAUCUUUGUAUGUUUAACAGUUGUCAUGCAGAAAUGAAACUGUUUAGCUCAUAAUCAAAGCGAUAUAUAUUUUUUCAUGAUCAUAAUUAGGAAAAUGCACAUGCGAAGAUUAAAUGUCUAGUAUUUAUUCAGCUAAGUGUAGGCAUUGUUUUUUUAAAAGUACAAAAAAAAAAAAAUAGAACUAUAGUUUUCUUCCAGCCUUGCAAACUUUCAUUUAAAUCUGUAGACUUGAAAAGUUUAAUAGAACUUAUUUAACAUAAAAAGAUAAUUAGCCAGGUAAAAGCAUUUAAAACCAUAGGAUAACAAUGCCUACGUUUGAAUAGAUAGUGACUGCCGAAGAUCAAAGCAAUUGAGCUAGUACUUACAUUCACCAUCUUUAGUUUCCAGCCAGGUCCAGUUAUCUCUCCAAUUUAGUAUUCGGGUGGCACUCGAUAGCAAAAAGAAGAAAGAAAGAAACAAACAAACAAAAAUCAGAUUGAAACUCAGAAAGAAAGAAAUACAGUUUUCAUUAUUUGAGUAUAUUGCAUGUAAACUGUAACUUUACCUCAUAAACCGCUAAAAAAUGAAAACCAAAUCAGCAAGCUAUAAACUGGAAUCGAUCAUUGCAGUCCUAGACAGCAGAACAGACAAACGCCGAAUCAGUUCAAAUCAGGUAAUGGGAACGGUUAUCCAUCUUCAAAUGAUAAGCUCAAUCUCAAACAGUAUAAAAACCACACAAAAACGGAAUGAAAAAAUUUGAAAAUUCAAAAGCACUCAACUUAUCUAUUCGAUCUGAGCAGAGGAUUGGGAACUUCCCAAAUCUAUAGUCCGACGAAUCCAUCCGGGGGAAAACUUAUAUUGCACUCUUUGCAUUCAAACACAUGCCACCAAAAAAAAUUCAAAUGAAAACACAAUAAAAAUUCAAAUGCAAACGCAAAAGCCAAUAAAGUCAAGCAUAACAACAUCAAGAAUAUACCUGAGAAACUAACAAAUUGGAUCCCACCCAAAAUCAAACAAACUCGACCAGGCACAUGUUAACAAAUCCUCCAUAGAUUUUCACUCAAAGAUAUCUCAUCGGCUCUACACCGAAAAUGAAAAAAAAAUAUAUAUGGAUGGAACCAAAAGAAAAUGAUAAGAAAUUGCUCAAUUUCAAAAAGCAAGCCAGUUAUGUGCUAUGACAUAGGAAUAUUACAGAGAAGUUAAAAACAAAAAUAUCUCGGAUAAACCUGAAGUCUAAAGCUUUACCGGCAAAAUCAUACCAGAAAUGAACACAACCAUCAAAUAUAAGUAGCAAUCGUAAAAGCUUCAAUGGACCAACCAGNNNNNNNNNNNNNNNNNNNNACGAUCAAAGACGAAAGCGGCUUGAACUCUAUUUAAAUCACAUAACACAGUUAUGGGAACAAAUUAAACCCUGGACAAGGAGCAAUAUUAGAAUCUCGAAACAGAUCUAAAAAUCAAAAGCAUACAAAACAUGCACAAACCCAAAUACUAUUAUCUCUUUCACUUUAUCAAUGCUAGUCUCACUUUGAAUUUUCUGCUAGUCUCAUUGACUCACGUUAUUGCUCGUUACAAAUCAUAUUCAAAUUAUAGAAAUAACCCAAUAGCACAAAGUGGAGAACUGUAAAGUACUCACCAGAGCUUGCAGCAGUUGUAGCUGCGAUAUCAAUAACUAACCUGGAAAAUAUGCAUACAUGAUUUUCAAUGGGAUCUGUGGCCAUAUGCAUAAAUAUUUGAGCAGAAACUAUCUCAACGGCAUUUCAUGUCAUCUAACCGUAAAUCUAGACCGUUAAAAAAAUGAGGUCACAAUAGGGUCGAAAACAAAACAUACCGGAUAAAAAAGAGUGAUAAUUAAGAGAAAGGUUUACUUACUUUCUGCCUAAAAAUUGGCCCAUCCGAGUUUUGAGCCGCCUCUAGGGAACCGGUACUUUGUGGGCAAAGUACAUAUACACAUUUCUUUGUUAAAUUGCUCAUCCGUUCAGCAACAUAUUACAAAAGAAUAUAAUCAAUCUUCCCCAUAUCCACAAAAUGACCAAAAAAAUAAAUAAAUAAUUGAAUAGCUGGUUUUACUGUUGAAGAUAAGUAAUAAAACUGUUCAUGAUAAGUUAUAAAACUUCAUUACCAAUAUGACAGAAAACAAAAACAUGAAUAACAAAGGCGCAUGUGUCACUAUCAGCAACACAUGCAAAAAACCCUCAUUUUGUAAAAGAAACCUGCAUGGAAAAAGCUUGUGCAAGUUCAAGUUGUGGUAUAUCUAGUAUUUGUGUCAAUUUAUUAAACUUGACCGUUACACCAAAUGUAUCUCUUAUUUUUAAAUGAAGAGCUUGUGUGUUGGGCUAACGCAUUGGUAUUAAAAGUAUCUCUAUUAAACUUUGACCAUUACACCAAAUGUAUCUCUAUUAAACUUGACCAUUACACCAAAUGUAUCCCCAAUUUAACAAAUGUAUCUCUUACUUGCACAACGCAGUUCAAGAGAUUGACAAAUUGACCAAUGCGGAGUUUGAUUUGGUAAAAGAGUAGGUACACCAGAUUUGACAAAAUAUAAUUUCAACUCAGAAAGAAAGAAAUACAGUUUUCAUUAUGUGAGUAUAUUACAUGUAAACUGUAACUUUACCUGAUAAACUGCUGAAAAAUGAAAAUCAAAUAAGCAAGCUAUAUACUGGAAUUCGGUGCAAUCGAUCAUUGAGGUCCUAGACUGUAGAACAGACAAACGCCGAAUCUGCUCAAAUCAGGUAAUGGGAACGGUUAUCCUUCUUGAAAUGAUAAGCUCAAUCUCAAACAGUAUAGAAACCACACAAAAAUGGAAUGAAAAAAUUUGAAAAUUCAAAAGCACUCAACUUAUCUAUUCCAUNNNNNNNNNNNNNNNNNNNNNNNNNNNNNNNNNNNNNNNNNNNNNNNNNNNNNNNNNNNNNNNNNNNNNNNNNNNNNNNNNNNNNNNNNNNNNNNNNNNNNNNNNNNNNNNNNNNNNNNNNNNNNNNNNNAGCAUAGUAAGGCAUUCAGCACCUGUUGACCAAUGAGAAGGUUUUCUCGUUUGAUAUCUCAAUGAAUUACGUGCUUUCCAUGACAGUAUAUAAGGGAUGGGGCCAAUGAUGCAACAUACUGCAAAUACCUCAUACGAAAAAAAAUCAGAAUUUCUAUUCUAUAAACAACUGAAAGAGAAUGAAUUCGACACCACAAAAAAACUUACGGUGGCUGCACGUCUUUCACUAAAGUAUUUACACUUCUGGAGUUCCUCUUGUAGUUCACCUUUGGCGGCAUAUUCCAAUAUCAAAUAAACUCGUUUCUGCAAUAAUUAAAAUUCCACUACAAGGGUGAGUGACUCUGUACCAUAGUGGUUCCAUUAACUAGGAGACGUUCAAUUUGGUGCAAACAUAAACCACCUAUGAGCACUAUACCUGAUCAUAAAAGUAGCCAUAAAGACGUAGAAUAUUGGGAUGGCGAAGAUGACUUUGUAUUUCAACUUCCCGACGAAACUGAUGCUCAACCUGAGAUUGUUGCAACUGGCUCUUGAAGAGGACUUUGAGUGCCACUAUGUGAUUGCUCUGUUUCAGGCAUAGAUACAAAUCAAGAACUGUGUAUACACACCACUAAAAGCAGGUAAACAGAGAGAUACAACACCACGAUGAUGCAUAGCAAACACUCAUUUCCAACUUAAAAUUGCAAAAGGACACUCCACAUCAUUUGAUAAUAAAGCACAUUGUCGAAUCAAGAUCCUCCUAGUUAUAACUCCUUCCCAUACAUCUUUAGUCACAACUCUUGCACCCGCCAAAUCUGCCAUCAGAGAAGCAUUCAGGAACAUCUAGUCAUGAUAUCUGCAAAUUCCGAAGGUGAUUAUGAGUUCUCCUUUGAGCAAAAAACAGGCAAAUUAGGGCCAUUAAGAACAUCAUCAAUACAUGGUUGAUAGUGGGCAUGUUAGAUUAACACAGAAGACAGUCUCAUACAACAUGAAAACAAAAUCAAUAUAUUAGGUCUUAUUAUGAUCAUAUUAAAAUACAUGCUUUGCACUAGAUACAUAUGCAACGCAGUACUCUCUAACCGGAGCGCACAUGCUGUGAUGUCUCAAAUUCUGGCUCCUUUGGUCUUGUUAAGGUGAGUUUAGGCUUCAUCUGAAUAAUAGAAACAACAUCAACCUCUAUAGCAAAAAAAAAUUUAUUAAACCUGACCAAAUAAAU